rnacentral:lncRNA from 1 species
GAAUCCCACGCCUCCAAGAGAUCUUGAUGACUGCUGCAAAUGAUAUUAAGACGCCAGUUAUGACAUGCCCAUUGCAAAAGGGGAGAUCGAAGUGAGUCUUUAAUUGGUUGUUGUGAUAUACUUUUGCUCUUUCUUUUUGGGUGGGUAUGUUAGUAGACAACUGAACAUACUGUACAUUUAAUAUUUUGUUAUAAGUCUUUAAGUAACCUUGCAACAGUACGGAUUUAUUGUUUCAAAAUUUCAAAGAGAAUGCUCUGAGCUAUUGAAUAAUCUUAUUUUCACAUAAGGCUCUGGUUCAUAGUUAAAGUGAGGGUAGGGUUGAUGUAAGGGUUUAUUCUGCCUCAAUUGAAUGCAACUUUGCGUGCAAAGCUAUCCUUGCUGAUAACCAAUACCUAGUGUUUAUUGAUGUCCAAUUGCUUUUUUGUAAAUUCGCUCUCAAUGACAGAUCUUAUGUAUUUCAUAGUUUUAAAUAUUGCUAAACCCUGCUGAGCAUGUGUUAUCUGAUGUUUGUCCUCUAGUAUUUUGUUACUUGGACAUUUUAUGGAAUGUAGGGCCACCGUGUUUUUUGUUUAUAGACUUAGAAAUACUCUAUUUGUUAUAUGCAGGGAGGAAGCUCAGGAGCUAGCUGAUAAGUUGAAGAAGAUCACUGUGGCAGACAUAAUCGAGAGUAUGAAAGUAACCUUUGUGCCAUUUUUCAUUCAGGAUGGUCAAACUUGCCGUAUUUAUAAGCUUGAGAUGACACUCCACGUACCUGAACAUCUUCGAACCAUCAUUGAAUAUUCAUCAGAAGAUUGGGAGGAAAUCCUAGAGAUUGUGUUUGUUAGGGAGUUGGAAGAUGCCAUACAAAAUCAUAUUCUUUUGCUUUCUAAAAUUAGUGGUAUUAAAAAUUUCACGCCUGAUUCACAACCAAAGGCAUCAAAUGAGACAGAUGAAAAUCUUCCUGAAAAAAGAUCUCAACGUGAGGAAGAAGAUGAUGACAAUGGUGGUGCAGAUGAUGGUGAACAUGGUGAAGGGGUCGAGGAUUUUGGUCUGGAUGCCCAUAAGCGAAAGCUACAAGCUACAGAUGAGAUGGAUUAUGAAGAUGGCUGUGAUGAUGAAGUGAGAGAGGCAGACUUGUCAGAUGGAGAUGAAAGUGAAAUUGAUGAGGAGGAAAAUGAAGUUGAAAUUGGUAAGGAUGGUGAAAUUGGGGUCAUCGAUGCUAAUGAUGAAAUGCCUGGAAGUCCUUUAGAAGAAGCUGGGGACCUAGCUAAGCCCAAGUCAAAGGAGAAAAAGACCAAAUCAGGAUCCCAAAUUAGAAAGAAAAGGAAGGUCCGAGCAGAGAUGGUAAAAAAGGAGACUGACAGGGCAAUUUUUGUGUCAGCAAAAGGGUUCCACUUCGAGGUCCAUUUUAGAUUUGCCGACAAUGAACCUCAUAUUUUGCUGUCUCAGGUACUUUUAGUUUUACUCGUUGUCACACUUCUGCUCUUAUUUAUUUCCUUGGCAAGUUAGCCCACGCAUCACUCAGUAUUUCUCCUUCUUACAAGCUAUUAUGGGUCAGAAGCUUCAUAAAAAUAAAUAAAAACUAUAGGGAAAAUGAAAACAGCACAAUAAAAAGCACACCCAAAACCGCCGUUAACUUACGAGUAUAAUUAGAUUCAUGUGGCGUUUUAUAUUUUUGUUACUAUGCAGGUGUUCAUUAUAUAUUUUAUUACUAUACAUUCUCUUUCAGCCCUGUGUUGAGAAUUGUUUGAAUUAUGUUAUGUAGAUUGCUCAGAAGACAGCCCAGAAGGUUUAUAUUCAGAGAUCUGGAAAGGUUGCUGACUGUAAACAAAUUACAUGCGAUGAAAAUCAAGUCCUCUGCUUUGGGAAGGAUCCUGAAAAUAAACAAAGUUUUUCAUCCAAGGAAAAAAAGGAGAUGCCAGCUCUGCAAACUACUGGAAUUGAUUUCGGUACAUUUUGGCAACUGCAAGAUGUUCUUGAUGUCAGGUAUAUUUAUUCCAAUAACAUACAUGCUAUGCUGAACACUUACGGAGUAGAAGCCGCCAGGGAAACUAUCAUCCGAGAAAUAAAUAAUGUUUUCAAGUCUUACGGAAUAUCCGUCAACAUUAGGCAUCUUACACUAAUAGCUGACUUUAUGACUCAUGCUGGUGGUUAUCGUCCAUUGAAUCGAUUCGGAGGCAUCGUAGAGUCGAUAUCUCCGUUUAAUAAAAUGACUUUUGAGACAGCUUCCAAGUUCAUUGUUGAAGCAGCAUAUCAUGGGCAGGUGGAUCGCUUGGAAACCCCAUCCGCUAGGAUCUGUCUUGGAUUGCCAGUAAAUGUGGGUACUGGAUGUUUUGAUUUGAUGCACAAGAUGGAGGUUGAAUGCACACAGAGAUAGAGAUAUAUAUAUGAGAUUUUUACAUAUUUUGGGCCAAUUGCAGCCCUUUAUUUGUAUUUCACUUACAUGAGUUCUUUUUUCUUUUUUCUUUUUUCGUUAAGCAUGUAAUGUCCAAGGUCUGUUUUAAUAACGCAGGUCUGAUCAUUGCAAAUUGAUGAUAUUGACUGAGUUGAGUUAUCAACACCCAAUCACACUUUUAGGAAAAUGGCCAUUAAAACCCUGUGUGAAAGGACUCAAAUACCCAGAACUACAAACAAUGAUAUUUCUUAGACCUUUCAAUAACUAACUAAAAAUGUGAAGUUGAAAUUCUAUAGAAAAAGACUUUAAUGAUCAAAAUGGUCCCUUACUAUUGUUCCAAUAUCAUUUUGGUCCAUCAAUUAAAAUUUUCAUUUCAAUGGUCCUCAACUCUUCAUUUGGUAUCAAAAUGAUCCUACCGUCUCAGUUUCUGAAAUAUUCUGUUAAAUUGAGGGGCAAAAAAGUAAAAUAUUAUUUAAAAAAUUAAAAACUGAAAUGCCCAAAUAUCUAAAAUCCAAAAAAAUAAAAAUAAAAAUUCCACAAAAAAAUCUAACUCAAACCCAUCAGAGUCUUCUACCCAUUCACUCCGACUCAAAUCAAACCCAUGUUCGCCUCCUCGUCUCUCUACCACCAUCUCUUGCUGCUACUGCGAUUUCAAGUUCUGGGCUUUCAACCAAUCCUUCUUCCAUUUCGGCAGAACCCCCUCCCAAAUUCUCAUAGCAUGAUUAUUGUGAAGCAAAACGUAGGCUUGAUUGAAAGCAGUGAGUGAGUGCGAAUGGAGUAUGUUGUCGUGUUUGUUGCGUUUCUGUUUCCUGGUGCUCUGGUGGCUUUUGAUUCUGAGUCUCUGCAACCAUUGUCUUGCUUUGCUGCUGUUCGAAUUUAUUCUGCUGGAAUUUGGCACAAUGCAGUGGCAAGCUUACAUUUGUUUUCGUUAUUUAUUUAUUGAUGGAGAGUUAAUGUAUUUGCAAAAGGUAAUGCUAAUUAGCCUUCAAAUUUUAUUCACCUCAAGUGCUGUGCAAUUUGUGGGCUGCCAUUACUUAUCCUGCCCUUCACCUUGUUUCCAUUCUACAUACAUGGAGAGAGAGAGAGAGAGAGAGAGAGAGAGGCGAGGCUGCAGGUUAGUCAAAUCGGCGUGUGUGGUGGCUGGGUUUUUUUUGUGAGGGUUGUUAAUGAGGGUGGGACAGAUGGGGGGGUGAUGAGGGAAUUUGGGGUUUUUUUAUUUUUUGGUAAAGAGUCCAAUUUACCCCUAAAUUUGGAGCAUGUGCCGUCUACGUAAUUCACAUGAUCCAAUUUAAUGAAAAAUGUUACAGAAUGACCGUUUUGAUACAAAAUGAAGACUUGAAGUAUCGUUGAAAUGAAAAUUUUAGUUAGUGGACCAAAAUGAUACUUGAGCAAUAGUUGGGGGACCAUUUUGAUCAUUAAUCCAUAGAAAAAUGGUAGGAAAAAGACUCUUCUAAGUACACCAUCCUAACUUCCUAAUCUUAUCUGGUGAGUUAUGCAUGUCGUUAAAGUAAUGGCCUUUGAUUUCAUAUGUUUGAGCCUAGGGAUGGCAACAAGCGGGUAGGGGUCAGGUAUGGCAGUACCAUCUCUAUUCCUGUUUCCGCCCCCUUUUCCGGUAUGAUAUUUCGGGGAAUCCCCAUUCCCAUUCGCGUUGGGGGAUCAUAUCUCAAACCCGGCCCGAAUCCCCAAUUAUAUGUUUAAAAAAAUAUAAAACUAUCCAUAUUACACUUCAAUUUCACAUUAAACUAUCAUCUAACUCAAUUAAAUUCAAUUGAAUUAUAAAAUUUCACUCAACUACUCAAAUUCAACUCAAUUCAAUUUGACAAAAAUAAUAAAAUCAUAUAAUUUUCUUUGAGAAAAUGGGAUACAAAUUAGGGAGAUUCACUAUUAUACCAAAUAUAGAGGUCCAAAUUAUUUUUAAAAAAAACCUAUAUGAAAUGAACUUUAGAAACACACUCAAAGCUCAUUUACAACAUAAUAAAAAGAUUUUUAACUUCUUUUAAAUUACAAAAUUGUCAUUGAUUUCUUAAAACAAACUCAACCCCAAAAUCUCAUAAAAAAGCCCAAAACACUAAAUAGGGCAUUAAAGUAAUUUAAUAAUAAAAAUUAAAUUCAAUAGGGCCAAUUGUCAUUUUUUGGGUUUGUUUAUAGAAAUUAAAUGGUGUAGGAUUUAUUUAUAUUAUUAGUGCUAAGAAUGAGUAUAUGACUAAAUAUCUCUAAAAAGUAAUGGAACUAAUACAACAUAUUGUUUUCAUCGACAAUUCAUCAUCAAGAUGAAUGUCCUCACUCAAUGGAAAACAAAAAAAACUUGCGCAAGAAAAGGAUAUGUGGCUGUACAUACAGCUGUUACAUUACAACGGCAAUGCUACUUUAAUAGACUAAUCUAACUUAACUUAAUAUUUUGUCCAAAAAAAAAAACUUAACUUAAUAUUAUUUAAUUAUUUAUUUAUACAUUAAAACUUUUUAAUUGUUAUAUUAUAUUAUUUUAUAUAUAUUUAUUAAUUAAAAAUAAAUACAUCAUUUAUUGAGUCAGGUUCAGGAAUGGGGAUAACAAUAUCAUCCCGACUCGUCUCCGAUCGGGCAUUUUUAAAUUGGAGAUCCCUGUACUCAACACCCCACUCCCCCCCCCCCCCCCCCCCCCCCUCGAAAUCUCCUCUCAUUAGGGGCGAGGACCCGACGUGGAUUUCUAGCAUCCCUAUUUCUCCCUUUGCUUCCACACAAAAUAAGAAAUGGUCUUUUGCAUAAAUGGUUGGGAAUUAACAUUCUCAUCAUCUUUGGUAAAAUCAAGUCCACCAUGGAUUAUAAACUACUCUACUGUGUUUUUUAGUGUGUAACCCCAAUUUAGGUUUAAUAGUACAUCCCAAUAGGGGCGGCCAUACAUGUUCAAUUUAUCUCUCAACUUGGAUCCCAUGAGGCGGAUCUUGGAAAGUUUUAACAUAAGCAGGAGGGAUUCGCAAAUCCUCCAGAAAUAGAGUGGGCAGGGCCAUGAACCCUAACCAACUAGGGUAGAACUGUAAUUAUAUAAAGGAAAUUAUCAUCACAAGAUUAUAAGUAUUAGCUAAAUAAUUGUCUUCAUGUACGAAGUAGGGGUGGGCAUUCAAACCAGAAAAACCGGAAAAUCGAGUCGAAUGGACCAAAAAAAAAAGGAAAAAACCGAGUUAACAAAAAAUUGGACCGAGAUGACCAAAAACCGAACCAGACCAGUUUGGUCCGGUUCCAAUUCUUAUAGUGAAAAAAUCAGACCGAGUCAAACGGGAGCGGUUGUGUGUUUUUUUUAUAUACAAAAUUAUUUAAAUCAAAUGCUACUUUUUUUAAUCUCAUAACUAUUACUUCCCCAAGCCCAACUUCUAAACAUCUCUCUUUUCUAGGGCCAAUGUCUCUCUUUUUAUGAAAUUGGAUCAUUUGUUAAUUUUCAAGCCCAAAACAUAAAAUUUUAGUUGGAAUUUGUAUAAAGUAAUAAUAAUAAUAAUCCGGUUUAAAAUUAGAAAAAUAAAAAAUUGAACCAGACCAACCGGUUUUAAUUUUUUGUUCAUUAAAAUUGGACCAAACCAAACCAGUUAAAUAGUACCGUUUUCGAUUUUAAUUUAAGAUAAAAACUGGACCGAAUCGGACCUCGCCCAGCGGGUACAAAGGGUGCCGUGGUGCUUGUGGCUUUAGACUGGUAUCAGAAAUGCUACAUUGUGUCUGCACUAACACACAAAUAUAUAUUCUUGUCGAAAUUACAUUCUUAUUCACUUAAAGCCAAAACCCCCAAAAACUCACCUUAUUUUAAAGGGAAAAACCCUUUUUUUUUUCACCUCAAAGAAAAGGGUUGCAAAUGAUGAAGCACCAAAUACAGAGAUAAAAUGGGAAUUGGGAAGAAACCCCAAAAAGUCUACUGUAUCAUUUUCCCCCCACCACUUAGUACAAGCAGAAUGAAAGCCAAGAAAGCCAAGUUUUGGAUUAUACAGCAGUACUGUUAUUACAAACCAUUCAAUGAGAUUACAAUAAGAAACAUUGCUCACGAGUUACAAUAAACAAUAAACAGUGCAGGCAUAGCUGAUCUCACUUGUUCAGUACUGUAUGGCUGCUAUUACAGGGCACGAUAUAAUUUGUGGAUUUAACAAAGUGCCGAGGAAUUAUGAAGAAAGUAGUAUACUUUUUUAUUUUGGUUACAAAAGUAAUACACAUAAUGCACAUUAGGCGGAAAAUAUCUCUAUGGGGAACCUGAAAUAGGAUAUGUAGCACCCCCAUAUUUUUAUAAAAUUCCAUUAUAAACAAUAAUGUAAUUGUGUGUGCGCGCACACAUAUACACACGAGGCAGACAUGCAUGUAGAUGAGCCAAGGACGAUUCUGGUUCAGGAUGAAGAAGGUUCAGCUCCAUCAUGAAGUGCACAACAAAUGGUUGCUUUGUGAUGCCCCUGAUACACCCUGAUAUCUUCACCAGUGGACAUGGACCAAAGUCUUGCUGUUGUAUCUGAGGAAGCUGCAUGGAUAAUUGAUAAAUUGUUCAAUCUGUUAUCAGUAUCACUAUUUUUCAAAGAAAAAUUAGAGAGAAGAAAACUAAGAAUCUGAAUGUUAAUUUAUCGCACAAGUUUGACUACUGCAUUAGUUUACGAACUUGACAGAAAAAGGAUAGGGUGCUGCCAUAUCCCAAUUUACAAAAUGACAUUUUAUAGAUUAAGGUUUAGAACUCCUAGUGAAAAUCCUCAAUUGUCAAGUGUCCAUCGUUAUCUACAAGCUGCUUCAGAAGACAUGGGUUCAUUUAAAAUCGUCAGUUGUUGAGAACUAUUACCUGUUAUAAGAUAGGCACCAUCUACUGAGAAAACACAGUCCCAUACCCACCGCUGAUGUCCUACGAAGUAAAGAAACAGUAAAGAUUAAUUUAUCAUAUAGCUUGGUUUUAAGAAGCAAUCAGGCGUAUUGAGUAAUUUGUAAACUAAAAUGAGCACCUUUAAUGGUAUAGCAGAUAAUUACCUACUAGAGUUUUCUCUAAUGUGAAACCAUCAACAUUCCAUAUCUUGACAGUGUGGUCAGAAGAGGCGGUCGCCAGAUAUCUAGAAGUACAAAGACAGGUUAAGCCAACAAGUGACAAAAUCAAUAUACUGGCUGCUAGCAACAGAAGGCAAAAAUAAAAUAGUAGAUAUUGUUUGAACCAAAAAAGAAAGUUAUAGUAAAAGGCAAAAGUUUAUUGACCUAGAGAGAAUACCAGGUAGGAAAUGAAGGCGAAAUAAAACAAUAGAUUUGACCCUAAAUGAAAGGUAGAAAGAAAAGGUUAUCAGCUUUGAUGGAUCAAACCUGUGGGGUUCACAGAAUUCAGGUGAAAGAAGACAUUUGAGGAUGUAUCCCUUGUGUGCUUGCAGCUUAUGAAGUGGCUCAAAAUUUGUCAUAGUCUGGAAGAAAAAGUACUUGGCGUCAAAAUGAAUGAAGUAUGAUAAGAAGGUGAAAUCAGAUAAUCGAGUGCAUAAAGGUACUACCUGGGUUCCCCGCAACAAGCGCCAAACAUAGCAUGUACCAUGAUUAUUUGCUGCAACAACCAGGCUCCCAUCCCACAUCACUGUUAAUGACCUUACAGCCGUAUCCACCUCUGGAACCUAGAUUCACCCCAUAGAUUGAUAUUAAAUGUACCAUUCUGUAAAUUACCAUCCAAAAGAACCGUUAAAUUUACACAUCACUGUUAAUGACUUCACAUUCUUAUCCUCAGUAAUUACCAUCCAAAAAUCCCCUUCCCAUCUACCAUCUAUUCCUGCAUAUUGAACACCGCAGUGUUUUUGUUUUUCAAAUUUAUUUUCUAUUUAAGAUGGGUUGUUAUUGUUAAACACAGCGCAACAUAUGCGCACGAGUCUAGUAAAGACUUUGCCCACUUAGAUCUUCAUUUCACCUAAAAAAAUACCAAGGCUUUUAAAAAAGAUUGCUGUUUAGACAACACGGUUCCUAAUGAGACCUAGUGCAAGAUGAAAACGGGGACGAAACCUCCCCCAAAAUCACCACUUUAGAUUUGCAAUUUUGAUCAUAGCAGUAAUAAAAGGUGUAUAUGAAGUACAUAAGUGCAAGACAGCGAAGCAUACCAGUUCGCAGCUGCAUGAAUUUGCUGUCAAAUCCCAAACACGAAUAUUGCCAUUUUGGUCCCCAGAUAUCAGUUCAGUCUGUAAAACCACAUACAGAUUUAAAGAUUAGAAAAACAAUUGAAACCAUUAUGGCAUGCAAGCUCUUCCUUCUUCUUUCAUUUUUCUCAAGGGCAUAAAAUUGACAAUUAAGAGAACAAGAAUGAAUAUGAAACAACAACUCUGACUUAAAAAUUGGACUUGAACAAAACCCAUGGAAACAUCAUUGCAACAGAAUACAGAUGGCCACUGGCUCACUACAUCAACUUAAGACCUUUUAGCAAACACUAUCUCUAUAUAAACAAUUUGAUGAGCCAAAACUCUGUACAUGGUCAAUGUACGGUGAUUAUGGGAAAGUUCACUCUCAUAAGAUAGUUACCCAGAUAUGACAAUGGGCUGUAUGGAAAACUGCAUGCAUGUUCCAACUUCCAUCCAGUUCAACAUCAUACUUGAACAGUCUAAUGUAAGUAGGAGCUCACAUAUGCCAGCAUGAUGCUUUCCUUCUUGUUUUUUUUCCUCCCUACUCUCUUUUGGGAAAGCCAUUUGGCACUCUCUAAGCUUACCAGACACAAAACCAAAAUCGUCUACGAAGAUUAUCAUAUAUUUUCAAGAAAAAAAAACACAUACAAUUACAUUAUCAUGAAAGUCAAUGUUAUCUAUAUCCUUCUUAAUAACUUGAGCAGUUAUGAAGAUACUACAACCUAAUAACAUUUUUACCUAACGUAUAUAUUCCAUAGCAGAAAGGGACGAGACAAUAGUUUACCUGAUUUGGGUGCAGCACAACAGUGUUAACAGCUGCACGGCUUUCAUAUUCCCGUUGACAACCUGGAGCUCUGUGAUUAACUCAACAUAUAAGAAAAACAAACUAUAUACAAAAUAUGAACAAGACUUAAUAAAAGAAAAAUAGAUAGCACAACCAGCAUGAUGAGGACAUCUUUGUAGGGUUCACAAACGAAAGAGAUGGAAGAGGGAAUUAUUAAUUAGUUUCCUAAUGUAUUUGUUAGUUCCUAGGUUCUCUAAGUUUUCCAGAUUUCUUUCCUAGAAUAAGUUUGAUUUUCCUUUUCACUCUAGGGUUAGAUUAUUAUAAAUACCCCUUCUAUGUAAUUCAUUAUGGAGUUGAGUUGUUGAGAUAUAAAGAAAAGUUUAUUUUCCAGAGAUUGGAGACUACUUGGUGUGAAGCCAUACCCUUGGCGUGAUUCCAGACCUAUCCUUGUUCAUUCUAUUUUCUGUUUUCCAUGGUUUUCGCUUCCGCUAAACUACCUAAAUUCUCAAUUCACCCAUAUCCUACAUCACAGCAUACGUGUGUUGUCAACAAUUACCUCAAAUCCCAAAUUUUUACUGUACCAUCCUCAGAACCUGAAUACAUCCAGUUUCCAUCACAUUGAAAUCCCACUGCCAUUACAUUAUUAGUAUGUGAAUCAUAGCUCAUCACCUGCCAGACAAUUAUACCAAAAGGAUGCUCAUGAGUUGAUGGAAGAAGAACAAAUGAUCAUGAAAGUCCCCAUCUAAAUUCAACAAAAACUAAAGCAAACCUAAGAGUGAGAAAGACAAACCGGUUGAGGGCUGUUUGAAUUAACAUCAAAUAAUCGAAUGUGAGGAUUGCCGGCUGCAGCCAGGAAGCGUUUAUCUGGAGUAAUCUCGAGCCUAUUAACUUGCUGUGCUCAUGAAAAAUGGAAAAAUCAGACAAAUGAAUUAAAUAAACAAUAAGUAAACCCACCAGGAAGUUUUCCAAUCUUUUCAGAAAACAUAAUCAAGCAACUAUGAACUAAAAGAAACUCAAUGACCACCUAACAAAAGAAACCAUUCCACUCCACCAAUCUCAAAUCCUCUCAAUGCCAACUAAUUGGCUUACCUCAGUUGGAUUCUAUCAUUUGAAAACAAAACCAACAUCUCAAUAAACUCCAAAAUCCAAAAUUUACAACGACACACACACAAAGAUAAUUUCUUUCUUUAAAAAUUGAAAAGUGGGAAGUGAGAGACAUACUGAAUCAGGGUAUUGGAUGGUACGAUAGCAGCGGCCACUUUUGGCCUCCCAAAACCGAAUAGUGUGGUCAUAGCUAGCCGUUGCUAGGAUCACCGAUGGUUGCUGGCUCAUCUUAAUCUCCUCCUAAUCAAUAUUAACACAACUACUUAAAACAGACAUAACAUAAUCAACCACAGCCUAAUUGGAAUUCUUAUACAACUCUGAGAUUUAAAAAAAAAAGAAAAAAAAGAAAAAAAAAAGAAUUGGGUUGAGGUUGAGGAUGAUUUACCUAUUCAUAAAAUUAAACAAAAAAAGACGUUAAAUUUAGGUUGGUAAUGGUGGGAAAUUGAUGGGCAAUAGUGUAAUUGGGAAUUAGGGUUUUGAAGAGGGUUUUGGAGGGGAGAGAGCUCCAUGGAAAGCAGAAAGCACUGACCUGAGUGGGCAUCUUCUGGGCCUCAGUCAGAGAAAUGAAAUCAUCAUGGGCUUUCCCCGUGUUGGGUUUCUUUUGGGACUUAGAGCAAAUCCCACGAGGCACUUUUUAGGUUCAGAAAAAAAAGCUGAAACUUACUCCAACUAAAAUGUUAAAUCCAAAGUGGAAUAACAUUUCCCUGUUUUGCUGUUAUUUUUGGAUGUUUGACUAUUUCAUUAUUUUAUUAUUAUUUUUUAAUUAAUGUGCCUAGAUUUAUACUUAUUUUGAAUUUCUAAUUUCCGAACACAUAGGAAUUAGAGCAAACUUCUGGUGUUUAAUGAAUAAAAAAUUAUGUUGGUUACACAUUUGUAAUCCACAGUUAUUGAUCUCAUCCAGUCCUUGCCUCUCUUAAUUUUCGAUUUUGCGAUUCAUGACUUCUCUCAUUUCAAGUAAACAUGUCAUUAACUUGUUUUGUUUUGAGCUUGGUUUACCAACUUGUGGAAAGUAGUUCUAGUUACCGGCAACGGCAAUGGCAUGAAGGAAAGAAAGGGAGAAAUAUAUGUAAUUCAUAAGACUCAAAUGACUGAAAACCAAUAGGUAUUUUGCUAGGGUUGGAACUUGUGCAAAUGAAACAAACAGUUGGUUGCCAACUUGCCAACCAUGAACUACUAGGAUUCCAAUAAGAUCAAAGUUCAAAUUUCCGUAAAAAUGCAAAAAGAGAUUGAAAUUUUGAAAAAAAAAAGGGGGGAUAUCCAUUAAAAUCCUCAUAAUCACAGUGAGAGGACAUUUGGUAAAAUCUCCAUCUUUUAUUCAAUGACUAUUAAUUCAAAAUGCAAUGCGACGCAUAUACUUUUUUUUUUCUUUUUUUUUUUCUGAUUGCUGCAAGAUAUGCCAUGUUAUAUUGAAGCUUAACCUGUCAUUGUGAAUCAAUGAGGUGCUUGGCAGGGCUCUGGACGGAAACAAAGCAAAAUCAAUUGGAGUCCGUAUGGAGGGGUCUCAAGUCCCCAAAAUAAUAAUAAUCAACCUCAUCAUUCAUUCACAGCCACACAUAAAUUUUGUUGUUGGAUUUGAUUGGAGAGAUAGAGAAGGAGGGGGGCUGGGGUCAAAUUUUACCCCAAUGCUCCAAGUGCCUCUUUGUACAAUUUCUUGUGCAGGCCAUAAUGAGUGGACCUUCAAGUUGUUAACAGAAAAAUGAAAGAGAUGGGCCCAUUAAUUAUAAUGAUAGCUCAGCCAGUACGUAUUUAUAGACCAGAAAACUGAUCAGCCCCUGUGAAUGAUGAAUCUGUGAUGGCUACAUAAGCCUGCAGAAGUAUGAGUACCACUAAUGAGUUCAGGCUUGAGAAAGAGAUGGAGAGAGGGCUGGAAUAUUGAAGCAAGGUAUUUGAUGAUGUAUGAUGUCAUAUCUUUAUGUGAAUAGUAGGGUUCAAUCAUUAACUUCAUAAAUGCUGUCUUUGUCACUUUGUUGAUGGAUCUCAAGAUAACAUCCAGUUUUUCCCAAUGGAGGAAUUAAAGGAGUUACUUCGAACACUUUGGUUGAAAAUACUGGAUCAACUUUGCUUCUUUCAUGUUAAGCCACUGAGCAGGGACUGGACUGGAGGUUACUGCCUGCAAUGGAUUUGGUGAGAGUCCUGGUGAGGGACAAAAUGCGUAUGCGCUUGUAGGUUCCACUGCUGGUGGGAUUGGGUCGUGUUGAGGUAUUAAAAGAUUCAGAGAUCUCCAAUUCCAACUUGACUCGUUUAUCAAACAAAAAACAUGAUAUAUCAAUUCCUCCACUUAUAUAUAAUAAGAAAAUCAUGAUAAUAUUGAGAACAUUCUACAAAAAGCAAAUUUAUGUAUACAAUUUUAGCCCUACAAAAAUUUAAAUUAAUAUAACUAAAUGAGUUACAUGAAUUUGACUCGACAUGGAAACUUCAAGCUAGUUAAUUUCGAGCGUGUUCAUUUUGUGUUGGCUAGUUGAUUCAAAACCCGUUUAUUUAUUAAUCUUGUCUUGGCAAAUUGACUUGAAUAUGAUUCAAAGCUUUUCAUAAUAUAGGUUAACCCCCAUAAUUUUGUGUGAGUUUCAAAGUCUAUAACAGUGUUUGUGUCGUUACAAUUAUGUUUCAUGUCAAACCCUAACAAAUUAGGCGGGCCAGUGAGCAUGGUUUGACAUAGGAGUGAAGCGAAGAAAAUAUGUUUCGGAUUGGCUAGGAUUGUGAAUACUUUAGUUAGGUGAAAUUUUGACCCCACUAAGCUAUUCAUAACCUUAACCUCUCCAUAAAGAGCCAUGACCACCUCAUGCCUGCAUGGCUACCUCACUAUUUAGGCCAAUAGCUAGCUUGGUAAUAGAAUCUAGAUAGAUGGCGCUGCCAUGGUUGAUAGGCAAUAGUGGAGGCUUGUAGUUUUAAACAGAACAAAUGAACACAAAUGAGUUGUUUGGGCUGCAGCAGAAUUUGACUGGGCCGGUCUCCGUCGUGAAUUUGACUAGCCUGCAGCAGAAUUCAACUGAGUUUUUUCCCAUGGUCACAUGCAUGUCACAAACCUUGUCAUAAUCUUAUUUGAAAAUAUUAUUUUUCUUAAACUUGUAACCCUCAAAACGAAUUGAUGAGAAUUGAAUUGAAUUAAAUUAACAUUAACAUCUGCAAAUAGUCCAUCGAUCUCUAUGUUUAUAGGGAUUUGCGAUUGCAGGACAGAAAUGUUUGGAAGCCACAAAACAAGACAUGGACAUGGAAACUCAAAGUAGACUUAUAUAUGUCUUACAAUUACAAUGCAACACACACACACACUCGUGCUGUCUUGGAAACAUAAAAUAUUUAAAGGAUAGCAUGGGAUCUCUGGUCAAACACACUGCUGCAGACAGGCUCUUUUUGCUAAACGUUAGAUUUUGUUCUGUUCAUUUUUAAAUAUAAUUUUCUUAUUUAUAUUUUUGGCUUUCUCAAAACCCUAUCCAUAUUUCAUUUUACUUAGCUGCAUGGGUUUGAAAUUCUCAUGUACAGUAUUUUACCAUGGAAAUAUAUUAUUGCAAUCCCACAUGCACAUGGUGUUUCCCCCACCACCCCCCACUUCAUGUUCUCUAUGCAUGUGCUGAAAUUGUGCUCAAAUGUUGGUUUUCCUCAAGGGCCUCCUGCUUUCUUUCUGAUUUCCAAAGAAUUUUAAAUUGUCAUCAAGGUACCAAUAAUCUAGGGGCUUUGAAACUUUUCAGUUUGGUAAGGUAGAGAAAGAUAAUUAAUACAAGCUGAGAAGAGAGAGAGAGAGAGAGAGAGAGAGAGAGGAGUAUAAUUUGUUGCAAGAUAAUAAAAACUUGCUUUUUGUUUGUUUUCUUUCUCAUAUAUGGUCCACAGAGUACACUGAAAGUCUGAAAUAAUUUAAUGGUGCUGUAGAAAAUUAACUAUAUGAACACUAAUGGGUAAUAGCUAGGUAUAUUAUUUAUUAUUUUAAGAUGGUUAUUUUUUUUUUGUAGUUUUCGUUAAACAAGAUUUGGGGAGAAACCAAAUUUAGCCCAUAUAAAAAAGAGACUAGUUUAUAAUUCUACCCCACAAAUAUAUAUAUGUUUCUUCUGGUGAAAUAUACUUAAAACUGAUGUGACAAAUUUACAAGCUGUUGUGCAUGCAUGUGUUGUGAAUCAAUCAUUUGUACAAGUAUUGUCAUCCUUUUAUGCAAAUGGAAGUGACUUUGCUUUAAGCAAAAGGAGAACGUCCCAACCAAAUAAAGGAAAAGGGGAGAGCGAUUUUCUUUGUUUUUAUGUUUGGAUAUGAUUGAAUUCAAUAGUUAGGUUCAAACCCAUACCCAUUGAGUUAAUAAUAGAAUUUUUGUGAAGUUACGGUUCUUUAGUUUACCACGUUACGUGCACCAUAUCGACAUAUUAUGUACGGCAUCUGAUACAUCUAAUAAUAUUUUAAUUAUUAAUUAGGCAGUUAGAAUUUAAUUGUUAAGGGUCGGAUUCUCCGUUAUUGGUUGUAAGAGGUUAGCAUUGUCCAAUACUAGUUCAAGGCCUUUAUAGCUUGCUAUUGAUUUAUAGAUCUCUUCUUGUCAAAUUAGAAAGUGAGGUUUGGGUUAUUGCUAAAGAACUUUUAGGUUUAAUUUUUCCGAACUGUGACCACAUAGGCAAUCUAGUCAUGAGAUCAAUUAUGUACUUAAGAUAAUCAAAUUUGUGAACUACACAUUUAGGAUACUUGAUUCAUUUAUUUGUGAUCUCCAAUUAAACCUCAACCCCUUUUAUUAUGUCUAUUCCUUUUUGCCUAUAUACAUUAUGGCAAAGGCAAAUUCCACACAUCUCUCAACCUAAUAUCCAGUAAGUGAUAAAAAAAAAGACCCCACAACAUAAAAGCAUUAGCAUUGACUCUCUCUCUCUCUCUCUCUCUUUCUUUCUCCGCAUUAAGAGGUGAAGUGGGUGGCAAUGCUGGUUAGCUUUGCAGCAAGCCCACAAGAUGUAGUCAGUAUUUAUGUGUUGGACGUACUUUGUUUGUGAGAACUGAUCACUGCACGGCAAUCAGGCAUUUCCUCUUUCCUUCUCACCCAUUUCUAAUACAAAUCACUGUUUUUUUUGGGGGGGUCUGAUACAAGUACUGUAUAUACACAGUGGACAAUACAGUCAGGUAGGGCCUCUAUAGAUAAGCCUGUCGCACGUCUUUGGUUCUGGUCUGGCUACUCUACUCUUUAGAAUUCACCCUUGAUAAUGAAAUUAAGUUGAAUGUAACAUUGGGAUUAGUAGUUAACAUGUUGAUUACUUGAUCAAGAGGAUUUAUAUGUUAAAGAUAUUCCUACACAUUUCAUAUCAACAAAAUUGGGAAAUUGAUCAUUUGAGCUUCAAUUGACAAAUGCUGUGUAUCUCAAGCUAGUUUACAGAUGUAGACAGUAUUAGAGCCGCCUCACCUUGUUGGUUAGCUUGAUAAUCUCUAUGGUCGAGGACGUCAUGAAAUUAGAAUUUUAAUAUCAUGCCAGACAAUCAAUACAUUAUGUUUUUUUUCUUCUUUUUAUUAAAGAAAUAUAGUAGCAGAAAUUGUAAUUUGGAUUAGAUAACUUGAACUAUCUUCUAACAUUAAUAAUACAAAUAUCACCGAACAUUAGGAAUACAAAUAUUACCGAACUAAUAGUUAGUUGGUACAUACACAUACCAUUGUUUACAUGUGCAAGAUUAGGAUGAUCCAAUUUGUCCUAUGCUAUAAAAAUUACAAUUACUCAUCCAACCAAAAAACUCUCAAUUAUAUAUAGGAUUCUUGCAAGAGUUUUAUAUAUGUAUUGUCUGCUAUUUAAGAAGGAAAGCAUUGAUAAGCAAAGAUGAUUUGACUAAUCCUAGUUAGAUUUACAGUGCGAUCAAAGCCUCCCGAGUGAGACACAAACAUAUGAUAUAUGGGUAUCUUAUGGGUUGACAUGCCACAGAGUAUAGUAGAAGAUGCCUGCUGUCCUAGCAACAUGAAUUUUUCUUACCAUUUUUUUCAUCUCAAUUUUUGAGACCUAAUUAAAUUUAUAAGUUGGGGCUGGUCUAUCUUUUGGACGAGUAAAACAAAAGCACAGCUGUUGUGUGGACCAAAGGUAAAAUCUAGGCACAUUGUUGUACUUCUGAGAGGAUCUGACAAUAUUAGUUGAAUUCAAUUAGCUAGAGAGAAUUAUUGUUAAUUAUUUGAAUUAGAGAGAGAGAGAGAGAGAGAGAGAGAGAGAGAGAGAGAGAGAGAGAGAGAGAGAGAGAGAGAGAGAGAGAGAGAGAGGGAGAGAGAGAGAGAGAGAGCAGUGAUGACCUUCAUUUUUAAUGAAAUAGGGUAUAUGUGUACAAUUAUGCAUUCUGCACAGUGUGAAAAUUGGGACAAAUCCUCUCAGUUGGCUGAGCCGACCACUGCUCAAAAACCAAUGGAAAUGUUGGGGGCUUUCACCCAAACUACUUGCUUCUUGUCCAUGAUGUAUUUAUAGCAUGAAAUAAAAAAUAAGACAACGAGGGACAUACAGUCUGCCCAACUUAGAAUUUAAACAUCUCACAACUUUGCAAAUUGCAUUCAUAUCUGUUCUUAUAACCGAAAAUUAGGGGUGGGCAUCAAUUCAGCCGAAUCGAUGAAAUUGACCGAAUCAAUCCGUAAUUAUUGAUUUGGUUUGGUUUUAACUAAGAAAAAGUCAAACGGUUUAAAAACCGAAAUGGACUGUAUAUGGUUUGAUUUGAUUUUGAGUUUUUAUAAACCAACCUAAACUAAACCGGACCGUUUAUGUGUAUAUUUAUUUAUUUAUACUAUAGUUUACAUGUGUAAUACUCUAAUUAGGUAAUAACUAUAUAUUAAAAUUUGAUUUGAGCUACAUUAGUUAUUGAAAUUUGAAGUUUUAUGACAGGUUGAGUUUUAGGAUGGUUUCGUACUCUAGAAAAUGAUUUAAAUAUGGAGCAAGUUGUGAAUUUGUUGAUUGUAAUUGGGCUAACAAUGUUUAAAUUGGUUUGUUUGAUUUAGUCUCCUUCAUGACUUUGUCAAAAUUGAACCGAACCAAACUGUUAUAUUGUAAUUGGUUCGGUUGUGCUUUUGAGGUGAAACCGAUUCAAUCCGGACCGUGCCCACCUCUACCGAAAACAAGAUCUUUGAAGCCUCUCACUAUUUUUUUUUUUAAUCAAUGGAGGUUGGGGGUUUCGAACUUAGGGCCUCUUCAAUAUUGGGAAGAGAAAUUUCACUAGACCAAGAUUUAGUUGAUCUUCUCACUAUUUUACUACUAUUUUUGAGAAAAGUAUUAUGUCUAUCCUAUAUAAAGCAAAAGUUCUUUAUCUUUAUGAUUAAAUUUUUAAUUACUAUCAUUUAGUAAGGGCUUAUAGCUCAAGUAGUUGAUAGCAUUUACCCAUGUACUCAAGGUUUUAAGUUUCAUUCUCCGUCCCCCAAUAUCGCUAGUAUAAAAAAUAAAAAAAAAAUCAUCCUUUAAGAAAAAAAAAUUCAAAACACAAUUACUUCAUUUUAAGGAGGACAAUACACAAAACAAUAAUAUAUUAAAAUGCACAAGUCGCAUCCUUGAAGGCUGAAGUUGCAGAAUUGCAUAAGCUCAUCAAACAAUCAAACCGAAAAAAUCAAGACUUUGUUGAACUGGUGCAAGUUUUACAAACACGUGUAAAGACUCGUAGGUUAUAGUUUUAUUGAUGAAUAUAAUGCUUUUAAAGACUCGUAGAGUACCACUUUUGUAAUUUUAUUUAUUUUGUUGUUGGCAUGUUUGAUUAAAAUCAUUUGUAAUCAUAAGUUAUAUUUUAUUAUGUCAUAUCACAAUUGAAACCCCAAGAAAACAGAGAAUUUAAAAGAGAAAAAAUAGAUAAGAAAAAAAAGGAAAACUCUAAUUUUUUUAAGAACAUUUACACUAUGACCCAUUGGGUUACGGAUCCUAGAUCAGUCAUUGCACACGGCUUUAACCAAAAAAUAUGGCCCCUACCUCUGUGAGAUAUGAAGAAUGCAAAUAAUCAUUCCUUUCCUUUAUCGCCAAACUUUUCUCUCUAUCUCAAAACUUAUAUAUGCAAAAAAUGAUUAACACACUCGUGUGUACCUUUAUCUUAUCAUAGAGUUUUCCUCUCACGAUUUGAUUGGGAGCAACCAUAUCUUCCCUCUCAUUUCUCUCUUUCUAACGACAGAGGGUGAAUUGAACAAAAUGAGAUAAUAAUAAUAAAUAAAAACUAGCUCUAAUGGUUUUAGACCAUAAACCUUUUCUUCAUAUUAGAUGAGAAUACCAAAAAGAAAAAAAAGAAAGGAAGAAACUUGGACAAAGUCCAUAGCUAUUGCUCCACUGGUGAGUCGUCACCAUCGCCACUUCAUCCAACACUUCCACAUGGAUCACAAAAUGUACAAUCUACUACACAUGACCUCCACAAUGUCAUUUAAAACUAGCAAAGUUGUUGAUACAUAGAUGAGCCUUAUUAAGAGACAAUCUAUGUCGAAGCUUCUUCAUCUUUCUUAACUGCAUCUCUUAUUGCAACACCAUCUACACCAUUAAAGCUACUGACCCGCGAUCUACAAAACGCAAAGGAUAAUGUCCCAACCAAUUGCCGAAAAUUGUCCAAUAUGACAUCAAAAUCUUUCCCGUGUAUACCAAAGUUUAUUGUCGGCACUAAGAGUAUUGCGUUGAGCUAUUGACACCCAAUAAUAGUCAGUUUUCUUUGUUGAGGUAGGUAACUAUGACAAGAAGCUUGUCACAUUGAAGAAACUAAAGAAAUCAACAUAGUGUGAUUUAUUAAUUCAAGGUGAAAUUGCUACACUAGACAAGAAACACGACGAACACAAAGUCACAAUGCUGUCUUUGCCGCUAAAAUUUCGAAAUAUCUCUAUCUAGCCAUCAACUUUGUGAUGCAAUAAUUUCAACUCAAACCAAAGAACUCUAAUCCUUGUAGGCUAGACAACUGUUUCCAUUCAACCACGACAUAUGAGCAACAUGUCGAUGACAUAAUCUCACCUUUUCCUAGCAUGGUUGAGGAUGUUCACAAUAUCUCCUUAUGGUAUAUCCACAAUUAAUGGAAUAGGUUGUCCAAAUCUAUUUACUCCAAAAAGUUUUCAAGCCACUUACUUCUCUUGAUAUUGUAGUGCUCUAUUGAACAUGCUCCAUGCCCUGAAUAUUCCUGAAGCUUCAAGGUCAUCGUCCUCUUCUUAGAAAUUGCCUUUUGGUAGUCUCCUGGAAUUUAUCUAGUUCCUUGUGUUAGUAGUGAAGAUCCAGAGCCAAUUUUCUUGAUAUAAAAGGAAUCACUUGGGAAGGGGGGGGUGGACCAUGGGAGGCUUUCACCUACCUAAGCGAAGCCAUGCUACAAAUGAGUGUAAUUUUGAGGAUUCUAAUACACCACACCAAAAUUUUCUUUGGGGAAUGAACCUAAGGUAAUUACAACACCCAAUCCUUUUUUUGGGAAUGGUAGCUUCAAAGACAAAUUAAUAAAUAAAGUCAAUUUUACUAAGAGUGUGGGUAUUAAGGUCAAUUUCCUAGAUGCUGAUUAUGAAGAUUUGAAUGAUGAUGAGGAUGUUAUGAUCUCUCAAAAAAAGCAUCGUCCGAGUAUUCAAUUCUUAGAUCAAGCCAUGAAUCGUCUCUAUCAACCAUGGAAGAAUGCUUUGAUGGUCAAACUUCUUAGGAGGUCUCACACAUAUAACUAUCUUCAAGCUCAGCUGCAGCAAAAGUGAAAACUUAAAAGUAAUUGGAAGCUUGUUGAUAUGGUAAUUCUGUGGUGAAGUUUGACUCGGAGGACUUUAAUUUUGUAUUGACCGGAGGACCCUGGAUUAUUGCGGGUCAGUACCUGAUUAUGCAAAAAUGAAGGCCUGGGUUUAACCCAGCAACUGCUCAGAUUGUAAACAUGGCAGCUUAAAUUCGUGUUUCAGGUAACCAACUGGAAUGCUUUGAUGUUUGGGCCCUUAAAAAGAAUUGGUAACUUGUUGGGAAAAUUGUUAGAAAUUGAUUCUCUAACAACUGAUUAAUGGGCAAAUUUGCUAGACUAUGUAUUGAAUUGGAUUUGACUAAGCCUCUUGAGGCAUUUAUCCAGAUCAACCAAGUUUGGUGUAAUAUUGAAUAUGAAGACCUUCCUAAUAUUUGUUAUAUGUGUGGAAGAUAUGGAAAAAAAAAAAAUUGUAAACUGAAAGCUACUGCUGCUGUUGAAAAUAUGGAGAAAAUUUCGGAUGUUGUACCUUCCAGGGGAGAUCAUGUUACUAUGGAACAAGUGUUGUUAUGUUAAUUCGCAAUUGGACGGGCCAAUUUGUAGUAUAGCAAGAUAAGUACGAGGUCGUACCCAUGAGAACUGAGAAGUUAAACUUUGUUAUGUACUUAGAUUACCGAAUUCAAGAAAGUAGGAAGUUAAGUCUAAAACAGAAUUUAAAGUGAGAGUGAUUGUGAUCGUCAAAACAAAUGAAGCAAAAUGAAAUUGCAAACAAAAGCAAGUAAACAAGUGCAACAAAAGGUGGUUUUGAAGGUUGGAAAACUGAUUUGGAGACUGGGGCAUUCGAUUUACCAUAACAAUCCAAUUCUAGAUGAUAAGGAUUCAAGUGACAAGUCUAAUUCAGAUUCAAGAAUUGAUUCUAGCUAAAGUAUGAUUAAGCUAUGGUGUCUAGUCCUAACCUUGUAUUCCUAAUUCCCUAAUUAGAUCUUUGUUGUCGAACCUAAAUUAAGCUUUAAAAAUCCAUUAAGCAUAGAAGAAUGUUUUAAACAACCAAGCAUGUAUCUAAUUCCUGUUGUCGAAUUUCCAUACAUACUCUUCCUAUUCAUGGUUCAAAUAGAAUUAAGGCAUAUGAUGUCUACUCUUAAUUUCAACCAAGAUACACAAAUUUGAAUGAUAGCUAGGCAUUCCGAUUAGCAUAAGGGCAGGUAUGCAUAAUGAAUAAGAACAUGAAUCAUGAAUUAAACUUGAAAUUUGAAAUUUAUAAACCUAGAAUAUUCAUGUUAGGUUACAUCGAAACCCUAGUUAUGGAUUUAGCUACUCAUAAUGGGAAAGAAACUUAAACAGAAAUGAGAAAACAUAAUGAAUGCAAUAAGAGUAGAAAACCCUUUUCUGAAGUUCUUGUGGUGUCCAAUGCUUCUCCAAGAGCUUCUCCACGUGUAAUGCUUCUCCAAGAGCUUCCCAAAAUCUAGAAGGAUGUAUAAAGGUUAAGGAGGUUAUUUGGGAUGAGUUUGGGUGAGUGAUGAUGGUUGAGAAAGAGGAAAUUAGUAGGGAAAUGGAAGAGAGGCUUGUUGGGACAGUUUUUGUGAUUUGGUGCUGUUUAGAGCUUUGAGUUGAUGGCUGGAGUGUUUGGGGUUGUGAGAGUGUUUGAGGAUGAUUUCUGAACGUGUUUGAGGAAUGAUGGGAGUGUGGAGGAUGAAGUGAAUGGAUGCAUUGUGGGAGUGUGAAUCCCAUAAUAUGGUUCUUUUUAGUGUGGAAUGGAAGUGGUAUUUAUAGGAAGAAGGAAGUGAGAAAUCUGAAUUGAGAAUGGCUUUCACCUACAACAUUCACUUUACCAACCUUACCUAACACACCAAUGCAAUACAAAAUCAGUUUCUUUUCUUAUUUGGUUGUUGCACUUCACUAACAAAUCUCACCAGAAAUCAUAGCUCAUGCAUAGCUCAUCAUGACCAAGCAACCAUCAACUCAUCUUUAGGUAAGCAUGACCAGCAAAUUCGUGGGCUUACGAAUCGGAUUGUUCUUAAGAAAAUGACAACUUUUUGAGCCUUCCAUCUUGAAGUUCAGAAUGUCAUCUUUCCAACCACAUGUUAUUUGGGACAAUCCAAAGUCAGAUGAAGAUGUAAUGUCGAAACGAAUUGCUAACUCAAUUUGCACGUUUUCCUAUCCAAAGCCACCAUUGCUACCUAAAUCUCAAUGAACUGAAUGAUAAACACAAAAGAGAUUAAAAACAUAAGUUUAAGUAAAAAACAUAAUGAAAUCAUAAGCUAGAAUGGUACAAAAAGAUAUACAAUUACAAAUUGAUCAACAAGAGAAUAUUGAUUAUGCUCUUGAAAACUUGAGAGGCCCUUGGAUGAAUAUGCCUAUUAGAAGGAAACCCAAGCAUGUGGUUAACAACUUGGGAAACAAGGGAUCUAGAGGUGGCAACUUCGGGUCUAGGUUCAAUACUUUAAAAAAUGUGAGUGAAGGCUCUACGAAUGAUGGAGUGUCCUUUCAUGUGAAUGUCAGAAAGCACAAUUAUGGUCAUAUUGGCUCUUCCAAAAGUGGGGAGGCCAAUAGGAAAAAAGUUUGGACAAAAUCUAAAAACAAGACUCUUGGUCCAAGGAAAGCUUUAAAAGACAUUUCUAAUAAGCCUUUAUUGGAAUAUGUUAAAAGGACUGAUGGUUCUAUAUUUAUGAGUCAGUUUAACAACACUGUGACUAGGGGUCUGGCUACCGAGAAAGGUUAGUGAAUGGUGAGCAAAGGAUCAGGAACCACAUUUCCGUGAAUGAACAACUAAACAAGUGGAUUAGUGGUCAAAAGAAUUACAUGAAAAAUGGUGUCUAUGUCUUUAGGCACCAACCAACCAAUAUCACUCACCCAAAGAUGAUGCUUGGGAAGAAACAUACUACUAAGGAAGGAGUUGUCCCUUUGGCAUCUAAAGCCCAUGAUGGUACGAUCCCAAGUAAGCUUUGAAUCCGGCUCCAGGACAAAUGAAUUCUCUAAUUGGAGACUUAGCAUACAACACAUUCAUUGUUGUUGAUCAGAGCUAGUUCAUCGGAGAUAACUUUAAGAGUUUGCAGAUAGUCACACAUAGACUUGGAUUUAUAGUGGAUGAGAGUGAGGCGUUCCUUGAGGAUUAUUACUCGAAAAUGAGCUUGAUUAGUAUAAUGCUUAAAAAGUUUAUUCCAAAAUUCAUGGUAGAUUUUGGCUGCUAUGAUGAAUAUAGCUAGUUUACAAACAAAAGCAAGGAUGACGUGUUACAUAACACCUUGGUGUACCAUUGUGGUAUGGGCAUAAGUAUGAGCUUUGUUUUGACAAAUGGAUAUGGGCACUUGUGAGUGUCAUGAUAACUCGUGAGAUCAUAACCUACACAUUAUAAAAAAUUUGUUUCGUCUUAAAGAUAAUGAUAAAAUUACAUUGAGUCCAAAAUUACCAUAUCUUAGGCUAAUAAGUGCUUUAUUACAUUUAGCACAAUCUAAUAUACGGAAAGGCUACAAUUAAGGGGUAUAAAUGAGGGGCUUAAGUGAGUCUGAAACUCUCUGAUCCUUGUAUUUUGGUUACUUUUUGGAUAAAUUUGUGCAUCAUGACUUUGUUCGUAUGCAAGUUCAAUGCCUAUGGUUUGGAGUCUACAAGGAAGUCUCAACGAUGAUAAGCAUCUGUGCACCCAGUGGCUUCUACUAACGAAAACCUUUUUCAACAACAAUAUCUUUAAGACUUGCAUCGGAUUGAUCUCAAAAAAUAUGUAUCCCUGCUAACAAUUCUGCGAUUCUUUAAAGUGCAGCUUCACUGCUUAGGGGUUUUGUUAAACUGCCAUCCUGUUUCUUCUAUUUAAGGUAUCUGUUCUCCAAUACGCAUCAAAGGUUGGUGAUGGGAACUGAUUUUUCAAUUUGCCUUUUGCCCCAAGCUAUUGCACUCGUCUCUAGAGGCCCUCAUGAAGACCCAAAGGGAUGAUGUCGGCUUGAAUUGUGUAAGGUCAGCAUUCCACUUCUUGAAUAUUUCUUGUGUGCCCUUGCAAGUUGCGUGCAUUUUCCGUAUUUAAAGCACAGCUCAGCAAAGAUAUGACUUAUCNNNNNNNNNNNNNNNNNNNNNNNNNNNNNNNNNNNNNNNNNNNNNNNNNNNNNNNNNNNNNNNNNNNNNNNNNNNNNNNNNNNNNNNNNNNNNNNNNNNNGGAUGACGUGUUACAUACCACCUUGGUGUACAUGUGUAUGGGCAUAGUAUGAGCUUUGUUUUGACAAUGGAUAUGGGCACUGUGAGUGUCAUGAUAACUCGUGAGAUCAUACCUACACAUUAUAAAAAAUUUGUUUCGUCUUAAAGAUAAUGAUAAAAUUACAUUGAGUCCAAAAUUACCAUAUCUUAGGCUAAUAAGUGCUUUAUUACAUUUAGCACAAUCUAAUAUACGGAAAGGCUACAAUUAAGGGGUAUAAAUGAGGGGCUUAAGUGAGUGGUCCAAUCCAACUAUUAAACUUCAACAUUUUCAACUUACAUAUGGUUGGAUUGGACCACUCACUUAAGCCUCCUUUACUCAUACCUGUUGUUUUCGGAUUCAACUACACCAAAAUUGAUUCAGCUGCAUCCUCAACUUGUGAUACUCGUAAGUGCAUGAGCUGUUCGGUAGUAUAUCAUGUGUAAGUGCGAUGUCGAUCCCACGAGGAUUGAUGAUAGAUUGAUUCAAUUCGAUUCCCUGCACAAAACAAAAAACAAAAGAAUAGAAAACAAGAAAGAAAAAAAAGAACUAACUCAAGCAAAUCAGUUAACAAGUUUAAUUCAGAUUGAUGGAUUGAUUCUAGGUAAAGUAUGAUUAAGCCAUGGCUUCUGGUCCUAACCUUGUAUUCCUAAUUCCCUAAUUAGAUCUUUGUUGUCGAACCUAAAUUAAACAUUAGAAAUCCAUUAAGCAUAAAAGAAUGUUUUAAACAACCAAGCAUAUAUCUAAUCCCUGUUGUUGAAUGUCCAUACAUACUCUUCCUAUUCAUAGUUCAAUUCGAAUUAAGACAUAUGGUGUCUACUCUUAAUUCCAACCAAGAUAGUUAACAUAUAAGUUUUAAUGGUGAUCAAUCAUUCAAACAAACAUAUUAACUUAUAAGCAUAAUAAAUAAGAACAAAAGCCAUAAUUGAAACUUGGAAACAAAUCAAACUUGAAAACUUAAAAUAAGAAAUUAUAUGACAAUGAAAAAUAAAUUACAACUAAGAAAAACAUAAAGGAAAAUUUAGCAAAAAAGUUUUAUUACAACAAUUGAGAACUUAAAAGGAAAACUAAGAGAAUUCGAGAGAGAAAAUGGAGAGAAGGAAGGUCGAACACCUCUCUAGAGCACCUCUCCCUUCUCUUCCUCAAAUUCUCUAAGUUCUCAAAUACACCCCAAAAGGGGGAGCUCUCAAACACAUCUAUAGAAAUCCCCUAUUCUCUUCCUCAAAUUCUCUUAGUUCUCAAACACCUAUGUAGAAAUCCUCUCUAUUCUCUUCCUCAAAUUCUCUUAGUUCUCAAACACACCCCAAGGGGGGAAGCUCUCAAAUACCUCUCUAGAGCUCAUCUCCCUUCUCUUCUUCAAAUUCGCUAAGUACUCAAACACACCCUAGGGGGAGAGCUCUCAAACAUCUCUCUAGAGCUCUUCUCCCUUCUCUCCCUCAAAUUCUCUUAGUUUUUCUUUUAAGUUCUUAAUUGUUGUAAUAAAACCUUUUUGCUAAAUUUUUCUUUAUGUUUUUCUUAGUUGUAGUUUAUUUUUCAUUGUCAUGUAAUUUCUUAUUUUAAGUUUUCAAGUUUGAUUAGUUUCCAAAAGUUUCAAUUACAGUUUUUGUUCUUAUUCAUUAUGCUUAUAAGUUAAUAUGUUUGUUUGAAUGAUUGAUCACCAUUAAAGCUUGUAUGUUAGCUAUCUUAGUUGGAAUUGAGAGUAGAUACCAUAUGCCUUAAUUCGAAUUGAACUAUGAAUAGGAAGGGUAUGUAUGGACAUUCGACAAUAGGAAUUAGAUACAUGCUUGGUUGUUUAAAAUAUUCUUCUAUGCUUAAUAGAUUUCUAAUGCUUAAUUUAGGUUUGACAACAAAAAUCUAAUUAGGGAAUUAGGAAUACAAGGUUAGGACCAGACACUUUGGCUUAAUCAUACUUUAAUUAGAAUCAAUCGGUGAAUAUGAAUUGAACUUGUUUACUGAUUUUCUUGAGUUAUUUCUUUUCUUUCUUUCUUGUUUUCUGUUCUUUUGUUUUGUUUUCUGUUUUGUGUAGGGAAUCGAAUUGAAUCAAUCCAUCAUCAAUCCUUGUGGGAUCGACCUCGCGCUUACAUAUGCUAUACUACCGAAUAACUCAUGCACUUGCGAGUAUCACAAGUUAAGGAUGCAGCUGAAUCAAUUUUGGCACAGUUGAAUCCGACAACAAGAAGUUUUUUAGUAUAUUCGUAAGUUUGGAGAACCUCACUAUUUAUAGGCCUAAGGGAAGUAAAAACAAUUAGCUCAUGCAUAGGUCAUGCAUGAUAAUACACUGCAAUCUGGUUGUAGGCUCGUUUUGGGCUUGUUCCUUCAUUCAUACAAUUCUGGAAAAAUAUGGGUCUUGAAGCUCUUUGUCUUAUCCUUCUAACCAUAUGUAGUCAAAUGUCAUUUUUGGCAUAGUAACGUAGAUGCUGCCGAAUUUCACCUUAAGCUACCAAAACUUUCAUAACUUUUUUUAGAAGACUCAGAAUCAUGAACCAUAAAAUGCUCCAGAAACUAAACUCCCACAUAUUUCCAAUGGUGUAUGGCUCAUUAGCUGGUUCUUCCAAAGAUCAUACAGUCCAAGCCAUGAAUUUGACUGAUCUACAGACACAGUUUUGAGCUAACUUGACUCCAAAAUGCAUUAAAUGAGUCCUAAAGCUUAAUACACUGAAACAAACACACAAGCGAUUAAAAGCACAAUUUUAACUUUAAAACAUAACGAAAUCAUAAGUUAGAAGGGUACAAAAUGAUAUAUAAUUAUGCACUUAUCAAUACCCUCUCAUUAUAGCAGCUCCCAUCUACUAUGAACAAUAUCACAUUUCUAAUGAAUUUAUUAGCAAGGUAUAGAUCAGCUCCAAUAUGUAGACAUUGGAACUGUAUAAAGCAUAUCUCGCACUAUCUUUGCAGAUGUAGUUACUUGUGGAAAUACAUUGAUCUCAUGAAGAUCUACCAAACAAACUGUGAUUGCUACAUCCUCUAAUCAUUAAAAAAUUCUCGUGCUCAUGAAACCAACAAAGAAUGUGUUUGGUUAAGAUCUCAAAUUUAUCAAAUUCAAAGCACAUGUGUUCUUUCUUUAACAACAAAUGCUCUAAUGAUUAUGUAUGAAGACAAUGAUGCAUAUAUAACUUAAAUCAAAGAAUGAUUUAUCAAGAGUGACACAACCAAACACAUAUCACCAAAAUUAUUAUACACAUGAACUUUAAAAAAUUCUAGAAAUCGAAGUCAAACAAAUUUAUUCCCAAGAUAAUAUUUCAGUCAUUUUCACCAAAGCUCUACCAAAAUCUAUAUUCUAGAAGUUGAUGUAUGGUAUCGGGGAGCAUUGAAUUUACAAGCAAUCAAAUUCAAACUUGUUGGGAUCAUAUGAAGAUAUCAAUUUAGGGAAGCAUCCAAAAGUAUACCACAUCAAACAUAUGCACACUGUACUAUUUUUCUCUUGGACUAGGCUUUAUAUCACAUUGGAUUUUUCAUUGUAAGGUUUUAAUGAGAUAUAUUUCAAUGUGUCCAACGCGAUGUCAAUAAUCUGGACAAAAGUAGUACUUGUCUUUUCCCUUCGCUAAGGUUUUAUCUCACCGAGAUUUCUUAGCAAAGGUGUUAAUGAGGUAACUUAUCAUUCAUGCGCAGACAUCCAAUGGGAUUUUGUAGUAUUAAUGAUUAUGCGGCUAUCCACUUGAAGUCAAUAAGUAUUAGUUCAUUUGACUAUUAAGUAAAUUGUUAAUAUUAAUAUUUAGAGAGAAGUUAUGAUGGAAUCUCAAUACAUUUCACUUAUUAUAACUUAAGUAACAUUUACAUAUCAUUUCUCUCAAACGCUCUCCACUUCUCUCCCUCUCAAACCCUAGUCACUGUUCCUAUCCUAGGGAGGGGGAGGGAAGGUCACUGUCUUUCCUCCCUUCUCCUUCCUUAUUUUCUCUCAUCCUCUUCCUAGCUCUUUUCUCUUGCCUUCCUUUUGGUUUUUUAGUUGAGCUUAUUGUCAUUUCUGACCCUUCGAGGGUUUGGUUGUGCUCUCUGCUCUACUUUUUUGUUGCCCUGGAUCUCCUUAAACCCCCCCUCACCUUGUGAUGCCCCUUUAUUUUGCGGCUUUAUCUUGGUGUUGUUUGGGUUCUUUUUGCAGAUCUGUGGGUUUUGUGUGUGUGUAUUUAUUUAUUUAUUUUUGUAGAUUCCUGUGUGGCUGCGGUUCUCCCCUCAACUUGGGCUUCUACCAUAGUGUUCUUGUUUUCGAGCAUCUCGUUGGUUUUGCAUUUUUUUUUUUUUGGGUUGUAAUAAUUACAUAAACUCUUUUGUGACUUUGGUGUUUUGUUUGUAGUUGAGUCUCUACUUGUAAUUUUACUUGUGAUAUAGUUUAAAAGUUGUAGUUGUAUUGGUAGUUUUGGGCAAUGAUCGGUCCAUAUCUAAUUUGUUUAGGCUUGCGGCUUUCAUGCUGAAAUGUGUUUGGAUUUAUGCCACUACUAGUGGAGAUAUGCCUUGUGGUGUAUUUCUCUAUAUUUGGAAUAACCCUGCGUGGUUACUGUGCUUCCACAUUUGUGUCAACCUGUUUUGAGUAGUUUAUGCCCUUGUGGAUGAUGAUGUUGGUGCCUAAGUGAUGAUGGUCUUGUCCUGUAUCCUGAAGGGGAAAACACAAGAGAUAUACUGCUGCACCGGUUCGUGGGCUUUGCCAACUCAUAGUGGGCUUGAAUCUCCUUACAAAGAGCGAAAUAUCUGUGCUUCAACCUAAUUGUCUAUGUGCUUCUUGGAGCAUAAAAUAUUUCUUGUAUUUUCUUAAUUGUAUCUAGCAAUAUGGAAAAAGGCCAAAGGAGAGAGAAAUUUUUUAAAAGAAGCCAAAAUGGACAAAAUUACUCUUAUUUAUUUUUGAAUUUCCUAAGGAAUCCUUUACAUUUGUAUAUCUUUAAUUUGAUAGUUGAGAGGUUUUUCUGUCUUUUUUAAAAAAGCUUUGGCUUUUUCCAAAAGUGAAAGUUUUUUUAUGACUAAAACCUAAAUUUACUUAUUAAUUAAGUUCUUUAAUGAUGUAAACUAGGUUAACUUUGAGCAUAGCAUGCAAGUCUCUAACCCUACAUAAAUGGGCCUAAUGGAAAGAAAAAGAUACAGUAAAAGUUCUUAUUUCUUUCUUAAUUAUUUGAUUUCCAACAAUUUUAUUUUUUGUAAGAUAAUUUACAACUUUAGAUAGUUGCCAAAAGGAUUUAUCCUAAAUAAGGAAAAUAGCGUAUAAGUUUAUAGGCUGAAAAUUAGAGUACAUAUAUUAAAACCUUAAAACCUUGAAGCCGAAAAAAAAACAUAAAACGGCCACUAAUGCUAUUAUCCUAGAUUCUACAUAUACUUUGCAAACACAAUAAAAUAGAACUAGAUUCUUUUUUAAUCAAAAUUAAUUAGGUAGAUAGACUUUAAUUAUUAUUUUUUUGGGUUGUAUGUGUUCUUCACUAGGUGAUUCUAUUUUCCCCCCUUUCCCUUACCUUUACUACUUCUCUCACUGUGUUGUACUACUUUAAUAACUCGUCUCUCCACCGUCCACUCCCUUCAGUCAUCUUGUACUCUCUCUCUCUCUCUCUCUCUCUCUCUCUCUCUCUCUCUAUAAAAGCAAGGUCACCCAGCAAAACUAUUCCCUUCAUCUCACACAGUAUAGUAGUACCCUUUUUAAUUAACCAUGGCUGACUACCCCUACUCAUCAAAUUUCUUCCCAGGUCUCUUCAAAUUCAACCCUCUUUAUCAACGUCACCAUGAACAGCCUCCAAACCCUCCUCCUCCUCCUCCUCCUCAUCCUUAUGCCCACAACUUUUUCCUCAACCAGUCUCACUCUUUUUACUGCACCACCCAACAAACUGUUACCUCUAGGCCCCCUUCCCCUCCUCUCAGAGAAGCCCUCCCUCUCCUCAGCCGCUUAAGCCCAACAAACCAACAACAACAACAUCAUCUCCUUCAUGAAAAUCAACAAGAUCAUCAUCAGUAUAAAGAUCAAGAUGAGGAAGAAGAAGAUGAUGAUGAUGAGAGUGUGACUGUUGCACUUCACAUAGGGUUGCCUAGCCCUAGUGCUGCUGAGAUGGCCUCUGUGCUGUCUGCUGCUGCGGUUGCUUCUUCCUCCUCAGAGAUUAGUAGUCAUCAUCAUGAAAAAUUAGAUCAUGGGGGAGAUAAUGAUUCUGCAGGGUACCCCAUGAGCUGCAGGCUCAACAAGGGUCAGUAUUGGAUCCCCACCCCUUCCCAGAUUCUCAUUGGUCCUACUCAGUUCUCUUGCCCUGUUUGCUACAAGACCUUCAACAGAUACAACAACAUGCAGGUAAUUGAUUUCACCAUUUAAAGUUGAACAAAAUUAAUAAAACCAUUGAGGUAAAUUUCUUGAUUCACCAUGAAACCAUGGCCUCAGAAGCCAUUUUCCCUUUUCUCCUCUCUCUCUCUCUCUCCCAAUCUUUUUCUUUUUAUCAGCCUUUUCUUCUCUCUUUGUUUUCCUCUAAUAAUUUAAGGACAACAAUCAGUCUCAUGAUGAGCUCAGCUUUUUGUUUCUUCAAUUUGUCUUUGAUUUUCUUCCCUUAACUAUCAUCCUAUGCUUGGGUUUAUAAAUGGAAAAUCAGAUUGGGGUAUCCUUUUUGUUUUUUAUUUACUUUUUCCAAAUUUUACUUUUUAAAAACAUAUUCAUCAUCUUCUACUUUUAUUUGCAUGGUUUCUGGGAAUUGGGGUUGAGUAAAUCUUUCUGAUUCAGCUAAGGCUAUGGGCAGUACCGUCCCUUUAUGUGAUUGAACAACACAGGCAAUGUUCCUUAUGCCUUUAGUACUUUGAAGUCUGUGCUCAAACAUAUAAUGGCAGAAGCUGAAAAAUCUUGCAGUGUUUUUACCAGAGGGGCCAGGUCAUAACAUUAUUCAAGUAACAAAUGAGUUUCUGUAUGUGGACCUUCAGUCUGCAACAAAUCAGUUUUUGGUCAUCCAAGCCCCAUACUUAUUCAUACAAAAUAUAUACCUCUCUCUCUUCUCAAUCAACAAAUCUUGAAAACUCAAUAAGUAAUUCAUUUUUUUCUUUCUAUUAUUACAUCUCAAUGAGCUCUAUCAACUCAGUAAGUAAAUUGGUAGAUCUCUCUUUUGCAGACAAAGACUUGUAAACUAAGCACUUUCAUAUGCCUUUUAAAGCGUCCCUAAAACAUUCAAACAAUUCAUUGCGAAAAAAAGAAAGAAUUUACUCCAAUUGAAAAUGCAUUUUCAAGGGAAGUCCAUAUAAAUAUAUAUAUUUAUCUGAAUCUUAUAAAAAUCAUGCAGUUUUAAUCCCCAAAAUAUUUGCACCUUUAAUCCAGUAAUUAGUUAGAAAGUUUCUUUCAUGUGCACAACAGAAAAGUUAAUGAAUCUCGGAAUUCAUCAACAAAAGAUGACUAGCAUAUUAGAAGCCAAAUAAUAGGCUUAAAUACUGCACGUGCAAGCCAGCAUUUUGUAGUUAUCUUUUUUAUCUUUUUAUUUUUUUCUCUUUGAAUUAACUGAUAGUUUGGAUGUUUUGGUAUUCAUUGAUCACUGAUUUUUGUUUUAUUAUUUUCUUUUUCCGACUAUAUAUGUUAUAUAUUGUAGAUGCAUAUGUGGGGGCAUGGAUCUCAGUAUAGAAAAGGGCCUGAAUCUCUGAGGGGCACUCAACCAACAGGCAUGCUUAGGCUUCCUUGCUAUUGUUGCACACCAGGUUGCAGGAACAACAUCGAUCACCCUAGAGCAAAGCCGCUAAAAGACUUCAGAACCCUUCAAACACAUUACAAGAGGAAGCAUGGAAUCAAGCCUUUCAUGUGUAGAAAGUGUGGCAAGGCAUUUGCAGUGAGGGGGGAUUGGAGAACCCAUGAGAAGAAUUGUGGGAAGCUUUGGUAUUGCAUUUGUGGCUCUGAUUUUAAGCACAAGAGGUCCCUUAAAGAUCAUAUCAAGGCCUUUGGGAAUGGGCAUGCAGCUUAUGGCAUUGAUGGCUUUGAAGAAGAAGAUGAUCCUGCUUCUGAAGUGGAGCAAGAUAAUGACUCCAUGCAGUAAUUACUUACUUGGAAGAGAAUUAAGAAACAUUAAGUAUUGUUCAUUAAUAUCAUUAGCAUAUGAACUUAAUUAGAGGGGUAAUAUUUAUUGACAUAGCCAUGGCUUUCUGAGUAAGAAGUAUGUAAGCAUCAUUUUGCUUAGAGGCCACCUUUUUUCUUCUUCUUUUUUUGCUCUUAUUAUGUAGCUCUUUUCUCAGUUCUGUAAGAGGUUCCAAAACAAAUCCAUGUUGACCAAGUAAUUUAUGUCAACCCAUUGUUCAUCAGCUAAUGUGAAUGGCUUUUAGUUUUUAUAAUUUUCUGUCCCUUUUGUUUUUUUGUUUUUUUUGAGAGAAAAUGGUAUUUCAUUCUACCCAAACGUAACAUUACAUGGUAGAAAAAUCUUUAACGAAUUGAUAACUUACUGAUCACUGUGAAGCUCAAGAUGGGAAACAAUAUGCCAAGAAGGCCACAUUGAACCUUAAUGAUUAUACAUUUUCUUUAGGAAGUAUAUAUUCUCAUAUUUGGAUUGCCCUUGCCACUAAUAAGGAGAAAGAGAGAGAGAAUUUAAGAAGAUGGUCAAUGAGAAGAGAAGAAUCUUUGAAAUAAGACGAUCUAACUUUUAGAGAUAAUAAUAAUAUACGCACGGAUAAUUGAACUUUAGGGGUUUGGGGCUUUUGGCUUUAAUAAUUCAAUUUCCUUUUAGGAUCCUCCCGAAGAGUAUUCAUCAAUUCACAAAUCUCAUAAUUCCAAGUGCUCGAUUACUAAUCAGUUAUACAUGUGUGUCUUGAAUCUCACAUCAAUUUUGUAUUCUGUUAAUAAAUUUUAUUGUAUAAGUGAAUCAUGAACAUAUUUGUUGAAAUCUUGAUAAGGAUGUCAUAAUUUGAGUGAGUCGUAAUGAGAACGUUAUGGAUUUAAGUGGAGAUUGAAAUAUAUGUUCCGUGCUAGUUUUGUUUAUGUUAAUUAAUUAGGAGAGUAUGCUAUCUCUUGGUUAUAAUGAUUCAAGUAAACUUUAUUAGUGACUAAUUAUAAUCUCUUUAGGAAUAUUGCAUCAAGAAGGCGAGUUGGUAUCUGAAAUGGUGGCAAUAUUGUAAAGGCAAAGUUAAGAGGAAAGCAAGACAAGGGUUGGGUAUAUUUUGUUCCAAAUGUAGUUGAGAUAGGCUUUUCAUCUCCUGCAAAUAACAUGCAUCAACUUUUUGUUGGGGCUGCAUACGAUGCCCCUUUUGCUUUGUUAGUGGAGAGAGAGAGAGAGAGAGAGGUAUGUUUGAUGGAUGGAACAUGUACCAUUUGAUUCACUAUUGCUUGGGAAAUUCAAAGCAAAUGAUUAGCUUAGAGAGAGAGAGAGAGAAAGGGGAUAAAUAAUAUAAACCUAAAAAUGUAGAGAUAUGCAUAUGUACACACAUAACUAACACAAGAGAAGGAAAGUUAAAGAAAAAAAGAGAGAAAAAUGAUGUAGGUGUCAAUCAAUAAUAAUAUUGGAUUGGAAUGGAUCUCGUUGGCAGCUUUGUUGAGAGAGAAAGAGAGAGAGAGAGAGAGAGAGAGAGAGAGAGAAGAGGAUGGGAAAAAGCUAAGGUCAGCUACAGAGGGUGAAAACGCAACUGGGUGGAGCCCAAGUCGUAUUGGUUGGUUGGUUGUGCUAGUUUGCAACAUAUACUGAUACCCUGCUACAGUCAUACAAAAACCUUUCUUCUGAUGGAUGAACUGUAGAUUGAAACGACCUCUCAAUAACACUUUGACCACCCCUCUCUUUCUCUCUCUCUCUCUCUCUCUCUCUCUCUCUCAAGGGCAGGCAGGGCAACUUUGAAAUAUUAUUUCAGCAAGACUGCAAAACUUGCUAGCUAGCUUAUCUGCUAAAUACAACAUGAAGUCAAGUAUGGUGAAGAAGAGAAUAAUGGUAAUAGUGAUGUAACAUACUCGUGUUUUACACUUUCACUAACCAAACGUACGUAUAUUUAAACUUUUUGGUACGUUAUUCUUCUAAUUAACCAAAACCUACGUAUAUUUAAACGUACGUAUAUAUCUUUAUCUUGUAGGUGGGCGAAGUGGGUUUGCUAGCUAUAUAUAUUAUAUAUUUUUGGCAAAAAAGAAGAAGAAGAAGCUAUAUAUAUAUAUAUAAAAUUCCUGUGUAAUAAUAAUUAGUAUUAUUACUCCUACUACUAAACAUAUAUAUAUAGUUGAACUACAAGUAGAAAGCAUUUAUUCACAAUCAAUAUCCCACCCCUUUGUAGGGGAGACCAAAACCCUACCACUAUUUGAUCCUUUUGGUCCACCCCCUCUCUCUUUUCCAUUUACAUCACCACACAUUCUCUCUCUCUCUCUCUCUCUCUCUCUCUCUCUCUCUCUCUCUCACGUGUAAAAACACACACAUGCUUGCUUAUCAUUCUCAUCUAUCUUUUUGGAAAUAGAGUGCAUGAGUUAUACGCUACAACAUGGGGAGGUCAGGUCAGAAUGAAUGAGUGAUUAGUUUCUUGAAAGUUCAAAGCAUCCACAUAUAUGGAGAGAGACAUUUUAGUUGACAUCCCUCUCAUAUAAACUUAUUUGAAUGACAUCCUUUUAAGUUUCACUUCAUAUUGUAUUUUAAUGAUUCGAACAGUCUAUAAAUUCAUCUAAAAAUUAUUUAUGAAAAAAUUACUUAAAUCUAAAUCCAUUUAACUACACCUACAAUAUAUAUCACAUACCCCACCACAAAAUAUAUAUAUAUAUAUAUAGGUGGGGUAAAAUUGAUAAUUCCAUUUUUAUGCUUUAUAUGCCAUGCAUUGUCACUAUGCAAAGAUCUUUGCCCUUUCUUUAGACGAAUGAAUAGAAAGCAGAGGGUUUGUACUGUCUAUAUAUCUAUGUCUAUAUCUAAGCAAAAAUAUAUACACACUGAGUACUGACGUUCUUAUCAACUGAUGAGGCAAUUGUUUUUUUCCCCAUCCUCGAACACUCAAUGGCUCAGCCAUGCACAGCCUUCUCUGCUUAAAAUCCCAAGACUGAAGAAACUCUUUUUUCUCUUUCUUCUCUAGUCCCAAAAUUCAUGUAUAUUUUUUUGUAUUUAUAUUUAAUUCCAAGAUACUGUUACCAAGACCUCAAGGAGACCAAGCUUCCCUACACGAGAAUAUGUAUAAAUGUUUUGUUUUUCUCAGUAUUUUCCUUUUUAUUUUCACCUUUGUAUUCACAUUCCAAUACAGAGGGGGACAGCUUUGUCUCCCUUGGCUCGAAUAUCACCAGCUUUUCCGGGCAUAUUAUAAUUUAAGCCACUCAUCUUCGCCUUGCCAAUUCAAUGAAUUUUUAAUUAUAAAUAAGUCCCAACUAUUGUUUCAUUAAUUUCAACACAUUGUCGGCAGAAGAAUAUAUGUGAAAACAAUUUCCUCAUCUAAAUUAAAUUAACAAGAGAAUGUGUAUAAGAUAUUUUGUAUUUAGUAAAGUUGUGGGGUACAAUCGCUGUGUGUUUCUUCUUUAAAAUAUUAUUACUCUGGUUCGAUUUUUAAGAUUGAUUUGUUGAUUCAAAGGUGUCAAGCACUCGUCUUAAAUUGAACAGUUGAAUUUCAAUUGGCAUGUGUCAGUAGUGAUUAAUGAUUCCACAACCAUGAUGCAAAACCUUGGAAGUUUUUUAGUCCAAGUUUUGUUUGCCUUGGUCAAAGAGUUUGUUUACCGUGCCAAACGUUCCUUUUUUUAAAAUAAGAUCGUAUCAGUCUAUGGAGUUCUUGUUCUUGAAUCCCUAAAUUUUAAAUCCGUUAACUUGUGAGAUUAAGUCUUAAUUUGUGAAUUUAAGACUUUGAUAUGAUUUGCCAACAUGAUUUAGCCUAAUGAAAAAUGGUCUUGACUUGCAGACUAGUGGUCUUAGAAUUGAAUCCCCAUGGCAUCAUAGUAGUGUGCGUGUGAGAAGCUCCCUUCCCUCUAUAGUUUAGACUAUCUUUUGUACUAAAGAAAAAAAAAAUGACUUUGAUUUGAUUCAGAUUGUCUUAGUUUUGAUUUAGCUUUAUUUGACUUGAGAUUAAAUCAAGAACAUUGCUUGGCUCCUUACAUAUUAAGAAGUCAUUCCUACUUACAUGUGUGGGAGCAAAUAAUCACACACAAAUAAUUAAACACCACAUGUAUCCGAAUAUACUUGUUUGGACCAAUGACCCCUAGUGAAAUGGGCAGGAUAACCAGAAGCACAUCCCAUCACUCACUAAUGAGAGGAUGAGUGGCGUAAUUGCCUCGAAUUGGCAUAAGUCAAUUCCUCUGCCAUAAUUGAUAAGAGCGUGGGUCCACUAGAAAACCCACGCGCUCAUUAGGCCCAAUAGGGCCUUUAAACAUCUCGGGCCUUGCUAGGUCGCAGAACCCUAGCUUGGGCCCAAGAACUGGGUAGGCUUAAGAUAAGCCUUACCUGGGCUUCACAUAACACGCCUAAGUAGGACCAAUCUUUGGACAGCACACCUACAAAACAGAUCAGCAGGGAUCUCUAAGAUCUUCCUAAUUAUUGCAACAACAAUAAUCUAGGAGACUAUGCCCACAAAUUUUGGGCAAAUAUCUCACACUUCUUAAGCCAAACGAUUAAUUGACUGGACAUGUGAAAUGACCGGUCAUAACCCAAGUAACGACCAUACAAAGCCUCUUAAGAAGACAAGUCAGCCACCAACGGGCCAUAUAAAACCCAAUCUCCACCGUGAGAGGAGGUAACAUUCAUCAGCCUAAGAAACCCUAUUUCUUCUAACCUUGGAACUGACUUUGGCAUUAAAGAUGCACCUAGGAUUUCAAAAUGAGGAGGGCUAGAUUUACCUUAUGGGUGAAUUGUUAGUUUUGAACAUGACUAAACCUUAAAACUUAUAUACUAACUAUAAGAAGAAAAAAAAAAAUUUUAAUUGACCUAGGAUGAAAAAUAUAUAUAUAUAUUGUCAUGGGCCAUAAGCUAGGUCCCUCCGUGUUUCGAAUCAGAGACUUUUUGACUCACACCACACCGAUGCGUACAAAGACUCACAAUACUUCAUUCUUCCUUAAAUUUCAAGGGCAGUGAAGUCUUUUCCAAAAGUAGACAAAACCAUUCUCCAGAACUUACAAAUCACAGUAUGAAAAAAAUAUAUAAAUUUACUUUAUUAAAAAUACAAAAAGACAUUAUUUUUGCAAACAUGUUAAACUGUGCUAUAUAUCCUCUUACAUGUAAGAAGCAAGUAAUAUUUUCCUCUUCAAUCAAAUCUCGUGAUAGCCAAUUCGCAUUCACUCUAUUUUCUUGAUCCCUAAUCACAUAUCAUGUGUUUUUUGUGUCUUGAUAAAAUAAAAAAUUUUGCAUUGACCAAAAAAAUUUUGAUGUCUACAAAAUGUACAUGGGAAAAUACACAGGGCAAUUAUUUAUUAGCAUCAAGUAUAGCUGUAUAUCUGGCUGAAAAAUCAAAAAGGAAAAUAAAUGAAAGAAUCAAAGUACUUUGAUCCCUUAACAAUCCAUGCAUGCUAUAAAUCAAUUACAGGUGAUGUGUAUGUGUGUGCCAGAUAGCUUUAUGAUAAAAGAAGUACGUUUGAUGGGAAUAUUUUUUUCACCAUUUUAAUUCAAGGUGUGUGAUUAUUAUUUUUCUUAAUAUUUGAUAUAUAUUCGUAAACAUAACUACGGUUUCAUAAAUACAAAACAAAAAGUUAUAAUUAUGCUCAUAAACACGUGUCAAGUGUUAAAAAUGAUGAGGAUACACAUUUAGUUAAAGUAGUGAGAAAAACUAUUUCCCUGUUUGAUGACUAUAACCCUGAUGUACCUGCAAGAUAUGUCUCCAUUAAACAAAUGCUAACCAACCAAUUGAAGGCAGAUCUUAGCUGCUUUUGAUCCUCAAAGUAUACGUACAAGACAACUUUGUUUGAGAGGCCCCAAUGACUAAAGGGAAAAGAGCAAAAGGCAAAAAUAAUCUUGACCCCAUAAUGACUUUUAAAAAGAAACAAAAAUGCUAUCAAAAUUAAAUAAAACACGAUGAAACAAAAAUCUUCUUUUGGACUAUACCUAAGGCUAUAGCUUCUCUUUUUCUCAUGAUCAUUAUCCAUGACAUAUGCCUGCUUUUUUUAAUAACCAUUUUCUGGUGCUAAAGUUUUCUUGCUUUAAUGUUAUAGAUUCUCCAUGUUGUAGGUAUAUGAUAUCAUUGUACUGGGAAUAUAGAGAAAAACUUCAUGGAGAAGAAAGAGAGCAUACUUCAACAUAACACACAAAUAUUUUGGGAGGGAGAGAAGUCUAGGAUUUUUUACUAUGUACUUAAAGGACACAAGGAAAAGUUAUGUUUGAUGUUCAUGCCUAUCAAAUCACAUAGACGGGUAUUAUCUCAUGUUCUGAGAAUGGAUAUAUAAAAACUCAUGUAUUCAAAUUCUCAAGUUAGUCUCUGCUAAAAUAUGAAAAUUAUAAGAGAAUAUUUAUUUGUGGGAAUUUUCUGUGUAUUUUUCUCUUUGUAGGAGGUCAUAUUUAUAAUACAACAAAACCUGAAUGGGCAAAUAAAUAAUAAAUUCCUAAAUCCAUUUACAAUAGAAAAUCAGGAAUUAAAGUAAAUCAAUUACAAUUAUAAUAGGAAUUCUUGGUGUGUAAGGAAAGUAAGUCAAUAUCCACAAGUCACGCCAACACUCCCCCUCACGUUGGUGCAUAGAUGUCGUCAAUGCCCAACUGAUCCAGUGAAUUAUGAAACGCUUUACUGGAAAUUGCUUUUGUCAAAAUAUCCGCCAAUUGAUCCUCGGAUUUCACAAAAGGAAACUGAAAUACUUUAGCCUCAAGCUUCUGUUUGAUGAAGUGUCGGUCCACCUCAACAUGUUUAGUACGAUCAUGCUGAACCGGAUUAUGUGCAAUGGCUAUAGCAGCCUUGUUGUCACAAAAGAAAUUCAUUGUGGAUUUAGGUUUAUACCCAAUUUCAGUAAGCAACUUUCUUAACCAAAGAAGUUCACAAAUCCCUUUAGUCAUGCCUCUGAACUCGGCUUCUGCACUGGAUAAAGCUACUACAUUUUGUUUCUUGCACCUCCAUGUCACCAAAUUACCUCCCACGAAUGUGAAGUAACCCGAUGUGGAUUUUCUAUCUGUUACAUUACCUGCCCAAUCUGCAUCUGAAUAACCAUCAAUAUUUAGAUGACCAUGCUUUGAGAACAUAAGUCCUUUUCCAGGUGCAGACUUCAAAUAUCUAAGUAUCCGAAGAACUGCAUUCAUGUGGUCUUCACUUUGAGAGUGCAUAAAUUGACUGAAAAAUCACCGCAUAAGCAAUGUCUGGUCGAGUAUGUAACAAAUAGAUCAAUCUAACCACUAACCUUUGGUAUCUUUCUUUGUUAGUUGGAACUUGAUCCGAAUAUUCUCCAAGAUGAUGAUUCUGAACAAUAGGAGUGUCCGCAGGUUUGCAAUCUAGCAUUCCUGUGUAUGUCAACAAGUCCAAGACAUAUUUCCUUUGAGAGAGAAAUAUGCCUUGCUGCGAUCGAGCCACUCAAUUCCCAAGAAAUACUUGAGUCCACCUAGAUCCUUCAUCUCAAACUCAGUAGCCAUAUAGUCUUGUAGCUGUGAUAUUUCAUGUUUAUCAUUCCCAGUAAUAAUCAUAUCAUCAACAUAGAUUAUUAAUGCUGUUACCUUCCCUUUUCGAUGUUUCAAGAACAGAGUAUGAUCUAAGUUGCACUGUUUGAAACCAUUGUUCUUCAUUGCCAUGGUGAACCGUCCAAACCAUGCACGUGGUGACUGUUUCAAUCCAUACAAUGCUUUUCGUAACCUGCAAACUGUUCCAGUCUGAGCAGUAUUAUAUCCAGAAGGAAUGUCCAUGUACACCUCCUCCGUGAGUUCGCCAUGUAGAAAAGCAUUCUUUACAUCAAACUGGUGUAGUGGCCAAUCCAAAUUAGCUGCAAGGGACAAUAAGACUCUGACGGUGUUUAACUUUGCAACUGGUGCAAAAGUUUCUUCAUAGUCUAUACCAUAGGUCUGUGUGUACCCUUUUGCCACAAGUCUUGCCUUGUAUUGCUCGAUAGAUCCAUCUGCAUUGUGUUUUAUAGUAAACACCCAUCUACAUCCGAUAGUCUUUUUUCCUCGUGUUAUAGUCUCCAAUGUCCAAGUCCGAUUUUUCUCAAGAGCUUUCAUCUCCUCUUUUAUAGCUUGAACCCACUUAGGAUCUUUCAAUGCUUCAGAGACCUUGGUUGGAAUAUGGAUAGCAGACAACUGAUGCACAAAAGCCUUGAGUGGUUCAAACAGCUUCUUAGUGGAUACAUGAUUUGCAAUUGGAUACUUGAAUCUCUUGCCAAUAUCAGGUGAAUAACGGUUUGGUGGCUUCCCACGAUUUUGCCUGAAAGGUAAUUAAUAUUCAAUAGUUUUAUCCUCUAAAUGCACAAGUCUAGGAGUAUUUACCUCAAAGAUAUUCUCAGGAGAUUGGUCCAUUGGUACUGUUGAAGGAGAGGGGAGGUCUUCAUUUUGUUGUUCUGAGUUGUCUAUAAGAGUAUGACUCGAAUCAAAAACAUCUUCGCAAGGGUUAGGCGAUCGAUCGUUGUUUGGUAGAGAGCAUUUGCACGUGCCAGACUCGAGACAAUUGAUUGUUAUUGUUUCUUGGCCGAGAGCAAUCUUCGUGCAUAGAUGAAUAUCCUCGUUUUCCAAGCUGCUCCAAUUGAGCUCUUCACUCGGUAUCUCCCCCUGAAGAGUAUAAUUGGAUGCUGGGUCAUAGAAGAACAUAUCUGAUUCCAGAAAUGUGACAUCCAAAGUGACAUAGGUUCGCCGGGUAGGAAGGUGUUAACAUCGGUAGCCUUUCUGAUGAGUGGCAUAAUCCAAAAAAACACAACGAAGUGCACAUGGAUCAAGUUUGCUUCGUUGAUUUUUGUGGAGAUGAACGAAUGCCACACAUCCAAAAAUUCAAGGGGUAAGCACCAAAACAGAGGGCAGAGGCCCGUGUUGCGUGAGCACUUGUAAUGGAGUUUUGAAGUUCAAGACCCCAGAUGGCAUGCGGUUGAUAAGGUGGACAGCAGUGACGACAGCAUCAUCCCAGUGAUGACGAGGAACAUGGCCACCAAUGAGAAGAGCACGGGUUGUUUCAAGGAGAUGACGAUUCUUCCGUUCGGCAACACCAUUUUGUUGUGAUGUUUGGGGGCAAGUUGUCUCAUGAAUAAUGUCAUGUGUCGUGAAGUAAGUCUGUAAAUCAUGAUUAACAAAUUCUCCACCAUUGUCAGAGCGAAGAAUCUGUAUUCGAGCAAUUGAACUGUGUUUCCAUCUGUUUGUAAAAGGAUUGGAACAGGAAAAAUACUUCAUUCUUAUUUUUCAUCAAAUAAAGCCAUUGCAUCCGUGUACAAUCAUCUAUGAAUGUGACAAACCAAUGAAUACUAGAAUGAGUAGAAAUAGGUGAGGGUCCCCAAACAUCAGAAUGAAUUAAAGCAAAAGGAAUAGUACUUUUAUUCAUAUUUAAAGAUAUGAUGCUCUAUGACUCUUGGCUAGAAUGCAAGUGUUACAUUUAAAAUCUGAGUCCUUAAAUACAGAAAACAACUCGGGCAAUAAGUGUCUCAUCUAACCAAAAGAUGGAUGUCCCAAACGUCGAUGCCAGAGCUAAAUUUGUCGGUGCUUGUCAUCAGACGGAUGCUUUACACUAUUGGCAUGUCCCAUACUGAAGUCAUCCACAGAGUACAGCCCCCCUCUUUUAGUACCAUGCCCAAUGAUCUCCUUGGUGAGAAUAUCCUGUAGUAAACAAAAAUUGGGAUAAAUUAGUGCACAACAAUUUAGUUGUUCAGUUGCUUGACUCACAGACAUUAAUUUGUUGGACAAAGAUGGAACCAGUAGAGUAUUAGAAAGGGACAGAGAAGGUGAAAGGGCAACAGUGCCGUCCCCUGUCACAGGAUAGGUAACUCCAUUUGCAUUGGCAAUAUUUGUGCGGCGAGGUGUAGUGGUGUGCAAAAAAUCAUUCGGAUCAAAGGUCAUAUGAUCAGUGGUGCUAGAAUUAAUUAUCCAACCAGUAGUAUCUCGUAGAUCAGAAGUAUGAAAUGCAUAACCACAGUUACCUGAGACAUCCAGAACCGCGGACUAUCAGUAGGAUCUACCUGCGGGAACAAGGCUAAUGGGGGUUCGGUAGAGACAAGAGCAGCACAGCAGAAAUUACUAGCAGUUUCUCAGAGCUUGCGAGCGCGAAGGUCCUCCCACCAAUUAGGAUAACCAUUCAGCUUAAAACAGGUGUCACGGGUAUGUUUGGGGUUGCCACAAUGCGUGCAACCACUUUCAUCAGUCGGAGCCUUGGGACAGGAAGGUGGGAUGGUUUUAGGAAAUGGCACACCAGCAGCAGUAGCAUAUGACUGGAUCUGAAGGUGGGCCACAGUAAAUGAAUUAUGGGGCUGUCCGACACGAGUAGGGGGACUUGAUCGAGGCGCACUCUUGGCCGCUAAGCCAGCACCAGUGGGUGCAGAUGAACCCAUCAUCACUGCUUGUCGAACAUUUUCAUGGCGAACAUAGGCAUAAGCUUGGUCAACAGUAGGGAAUGGAGUCAUGUGAAGAACAUCACUUCGGGCCUUAUCAAGACGAUCAUCAAGGUCAUCCAAAAAUAUGUAAACUCGAUCUUCCUGCAGAAUAUCAUUAUAGCGCUGGAUAUCACUUUCAUCCUCCAUCAUAUUUGGACGACGGAAAUCAAUUUCUCUCCAUAAGCUUUGGAGAGUAUUGUAAUAGGUUUCAAUGGAGCCACCAGCUUGUCACAUACCAGAGACUCGUCGUUUCAGAUCAUAAACCUGAGAGGUGUCAGUGCCAUCAUAGUAAGUUGUGGCAAUUGCAUCCCACACUGGCUUUGCAGUCGAAAAAUGAAUGAAAUUGCCAAUCAAACUCUGCUCUAGAGAAUUGAUGAGCCAUCCCUUCACAAUAAAGUUCUCGGUGCGCCAGCGAGGAAACGUUGGAGCGGUCGAAAGAGGUUGUGGAAGAUCGCCAUUAAUAUAUCCCAAUUUGUCUUUGCCGGAGAUAUACAACUCUACAACUUGGGACCAUAGGGCAUAGUUGGUGACAUCCAACUUUAUGCCAAUCUGUGCAGCGGAAGCUUCACAGGUAAUUGUCGUCAGAAUCGUUGUAUGAUUCGGGUUCAAGGUCGUCGUCUGAUUCGAGUUCGAGGUCGUCGUCUGAGUCGAGGUCGGGGUCGUCUUGGUAGGAUCCUGAUUUAGGAUCAAUUUCGAGGUCUGAGUCUGCAUCUGCAUUAGUUUAGCCACCUGGGCACUCAACUCGGCUAUGAUUGGUUGAGAAGGAAAGGAGGAAGCAGUGGUGCUACUGCCAUGAGGAUUAGAAGAGUCAUCCUCCCCCAUGGUGGCGGCUAGGGUUUAGAAACUAGAGUCAGCAAUCCUAAGAUUGCUGCUCUGAUACCAUGCUAAAAUAUAAAAACUAUGAGAGAAUAUUUGUUUGUGGGAAUUUUUUGUGUAUUCUUCUCCUUGUAGGAGGUCAUAUUUAUAAUACAACAAAACCUGAAUGGGCAAGUAAAUAAUAAAUUCCUAAAUCCAUUUACAGUAGGAAAUCAGGAAUUAGAGUAAAUCAAUUACAAUUAUAAUAGGAAUUCUUGGUGUGUAAGUAAAGUGAGUCAAUAUCCACAAGUCAAGCCAACAAUCCCGACCCUCAUAUUAGUUGAAAAAGUAGAUGGCGAAUGCCUGAUCGAAUUGAUGGGGUCAUGUAGAAACAAGGUUCAAGUCUACCGGUCAAUAUAUAGUAAAUUUGGCUCUCUUAGCACAAAAGAAAAGAAAAAAAAAAAACUUAUCCAUUUGGAUAUUACUUGCAAAAAAAUCCAAUUAUAAUUAGGAUACAUAGCUAUGAGGCCAAAUAACUCCACAUCAAGGAAGCACCUAUGUAUUACUUAUUUAUUAGAAGGCAAAACCCACACAAACACCCUUCCAAGGAGAUACCAUAUGCUAGCUAUAUAAACUUGGAAGAAAUAUACCACUUUCAUCAAACAAAUAUGAAAGGGAAAAAAAAGAAACAAGACUUAACAUUUUUGUUGGAUUAAUAAUGCAAAAAUUAAUAGGUCAAAUAAUAGUAUUGAUAACUAAUUAAAAAUAUAUAUAGCAAAUGGGGUCCAAUCCAAUGAAAAAUGGUCUUGAUUUAGAGACCAGUGAUCUCAGGUUCAAACUCAUAGCACCUUGACUAUCGCUUGUAUUUAAAAUAUAUAUAUGUAUUAGAUAAAAGGGCAAGGAAUUUAUGUAUGUAUUGUAGUUCUUUUGUGUGAAGGCUUAAGGAAAAGUGUGAGAAAUUACUUUUAGAUUGCAUGUAUCCUUUCUCUAUCCAAAUGCAUAUAAAACAUUAAUAUACACUCAUACAUACAUCACAUAUCAUAUAUCAUGUACCUUCAUAUAUAUCAUCAUUAUAUAUCAAGCGACAACUUCUUCUGCAGGCAGCCUCUUUAUGACCUCCAACAAAUUUUCAGCACCAUGCCCAUGCUUCUCAAUUAUAGAUAGUUCUGAAUCCACUUCCUAUAAUUCCUUCCUGUGUCAGUCUUCUGUUGGGACUUUUUUUUCAGACAUAUGUAGCUUUUAUAUGAUCUGCAAACAUUCAUUCACUCAAAUCUUUAAUAUGGUUAAUUAAGAGGUAUUUAACAACCACUUCCACUUCCAAACAAAUACUUUCCUCAAUUUUAUUUCACACAAUCGUUUUGUUAAUCUCAUUUGCUACAUGCUUAAGCCUUAAUUAAGCCACCCUCAUGAGACCAUCAAAGAGAAAGAAGAAAAAAAAAAUCUCUCUUUUGGGUUUACAUGUUUAGGGCAACCUUAUAUGAAACACAGAAGGGGGGAAAAGUAAAAGGUUGGUUAAAAGGGAUGUUGGAAUGAAAGUCCUCCAAUUUUGAGGUCAUACCCUCAUUUGAAAGAUAUAUAUAUAUCCUCUUUGUUACACUUGUAUACAUAAUGCAAUGGCUUAACAAAAAUGAGCCUUUUACAAAAGGGUGCAGUUAAGAUGAUUAUAAAAGCACCUACAUGUUUUGGUUUCCUUUUCGUCCUUCAGUGGGUUGAACACCUUUCUCUCUUUUGCUUUUGGUAAAUGUCCUUUUAUCUCCUUCUUUCCUAUACCCUUUUCCCUGAUGUAACUUUGGGAAAUCCAAUCAAAACCUCACCUUUCUCUACAUUAGUAGGAAAGAGGACUAAACAAACAGCUUUACCUUCAAUUAGUUUCUUUCUCAUUUUUUGUAUCCCUUUGCAUGACAUGUUUGGAUUCAAUAUUCUCUAAUCCAUUUGAAUGACAUUGUAGAAGGAGAAAUUCAAGCCAUCAUCUAUAUGAGUUUGGCUUUGGAUUUAUAUUUUUUGACGAUAUUAAUUAUGCGCAUCGUCUGGUUACAGAUUUCUAUUUAAUUAUCGUUCUAAAAAACUAUGUACUAAACCUUAUAUGUUUGUCCUUCAAUUCAUAUCAAAAUAUUUUUUAACAUAAACAUAAUAAGGUCCCUUGCUACGUGAAAUCUCGUUUUGCAAGAGAUGUGAAUAACAUGUCGCGUAAAAUAGGGACCAUCUAAGUAAUUUAUCAUAAAAAAAUAAUAUUUAAAAUUGAAGUGUAAAAAGAGCCUUAGACCACUCAAUUUAGAUGGGUUGUGAACUUAUGAGAUUCUCUAUAAAGGGUUCAGAAAUUGGCGCAUUCUAUUGCCUUAUUUGGGCCGUCAGUUUGGGCACUGGGAGCAUUUCUACUAUGCAAAAUCAUGUUACUGGUCAAAAUCAUUCUCUUCUAAAAUUCAGUUAUACUGAUUGUCAUAUAGAACACACAUGGGUUGUGGGGAAAACACAUUAAUGAGAGAGAGAGAGAGAGAGAGAGGAUGACAAAAAUGGGACUAUGGCCUGCCCCUUUACGUGGUAUAUUUAACGUUAUAAUUGAAUUGGCUGGAAGGAAAGUGAACCACAAACAAGAGCUAGCAUUAGGACCUUACAUGUUAAAUCCUUCAAUGAAGCAAGAUUUAUUAUCCAGUGGGAAGUUCAACUCUAUGUUUUUAUUGUAGUUGCGUGAUCUGGGAGAUGACAUAGAUCCAUUAUUUUGGAUCUUUCAUAUGCUCUGAUUGUAGUUGAGUGAUCUGGGAGAUGACAGUGACCAAAGAACAAAAAUUGAAAUUCAUCAGAAAAUGGGAAAAAUAUCUGAACUCAAUAACCCUUUUUAAAUUCACCAAUAGGUGUUAGUUGGAUUAGCUCAAGAGUGAUCCUGAGUUCAAACCUCAUGGUACCGGUAUGUGUGAAUUUCACCCAUUCUCCUUCCUAUCUUUGGUCAAAAAAAGUAAAAUUAAUAACACUUCUUAAAUUCCUUAAAUAUAAAUUUUUAAUCCAUCCCAACGCAUAAGGCUUAGCCUGACCAAUCUAGGCCCACUUUUGAAAUAUCAUUUGUUUGUAUAUAAGAUACAUUGCUCUCAACAAAGUAUAUAAGAUACAUUAUAGUUUGUCUACGAUACACAUAUAUGAGAAUUUUCUAUAAUACAAUUAGUAUAUUUGGAAAUAUAAAAAAUGGAUUUUCACAUGGCAAGGCCAACAAAGCCCUGCCCAGCCCGUGAUAGUGGGCUUGGGCUAAGGUUGAAAUAUGUAUGCUAAAAUGACCCUUGAACUCAAAUCGAACCCAACGUUUGAGGGUUGGGAAAAGCUUGCUCCUUUGUUUCCACAUUCUAUCAACCCCAUCAAACCCCAUCGGCGCCACCCUCACCACCAUCGAGUCAUUCUAUAGCCCUUAGGUGAGGUCUUAUCUUUUAACUGUUGAAUCAGGCUAACCAAUUUGAUCCAACAACUAACUAAUUUGAUAUAAUGAUUAAAAGAUAGGGCCUCACCGAAAGACCAUAUUAAGGCCCUCAUUAUAGAUUUCUUGCACCACCAUCCCCCUCAACCUAGUUCUUCAAUCUACCAAUCUCUUCCGAUUGGGCCACACUCUCCUUCACCAUAAGCACACUCCUACCCAAUGAACACUAACUUUUAUAAUCCAACAAGAAUUCUAUAGUUCUUCAAUCUACCAAUCUCUUCCGAUUGGGCCCUCAUUAAUCCACCCGCUAAUAACAUGGCAAAACAAAAGUUUCUGUUUGGUUUAACCAAAGUAUUCAAAACCAACCUUUUUCAUUUUCAUCUUCCAAGUAUUGACAGAGAGGAAACGGCCAAAGAGAAAAUUCCAGGAACUCAUGAUUUUUCACCCCAAAAAUAAUAUUUCCAGGAACUCCAGCCUCUUACCAUGAACACGUGUAGCAAACCCAGAGGCUCUGUUGUGAAGGAUCUCAUGAGCCACAAAAGAAAAGAUUUCUAUGGACCCCAUCAGAAUCCCAACAACGUAUAACGGUCAACAAUAUUCAGCUUCUUCCUCAUUUGCCUCUUCUUCAUUUUGUCCAUAAAAAAUACGGACAAAAAAAAGAAGAAGAAGAAGAAGAAAUGGAGCCUCUUUGCCCAAACUUGGAUCUCAAGCCCACACCUUUCUCACCAAUUUCACCAAGAUUCUCAAAACCCAAUUCUCUGUCAGUGCAUUCACAUCGGUUUUCAUGCUCGGAUCGGCGUGUGACCAAGAAAUGGAGGGUGCCAAUUGUGCCCAGUUGGUUCAAGGCUGCUAGUAAUGUAAGGGCUGAUGAAGCUCAGGUUUGUGGUCAGGAGCUGAUGAGGUCAGUUGGAAAAGGCUUGCUUGCAUUGGCUGCUGCCGCUGCUGCAAAUUAUUCCAUCUUUUGUGAUUCUCCGGCUAUGGCAGAGUCGCUUACUGUUGCUUUUCCGGUUUCACGCACCACUGAGGUGAUAGAUUUUGUUUCCUGUUUGAUUGAGUGUUGUUGGGUUGUGUCAUUUGUGUCCAUCCAAUAUUAUAAGUAAAAAUACACUCUAGAAGAUUUCACACACUUUUAAGAAAUGGAAAAGAAAAACAGAGCAUUUUGUAGAGUAUGAAUUAAACAUAUUUUCGUGUUUGACAUUAACGUGACCUGUUUAUUAUUCGUAUUAGUAUGUGCCAAUUGUCUUAUGUUUGGGUUCUUGAGGUAACAAAAUUGCCACCCUCGAUUCUAUUCUCUUGCUGUUGUUUCUUUCUUCUUCUUCUUCGUCUUUUGUUUUGUGUGUAUGUGUGUGUUGUUUUGAUAUAUAAUUUGUGUUUGAUUGAGUGACUGUAAUGAGUUUUGCUAAUUUCAUUAGAUUUCUUUUACCAAUUUUUUUCUGUGUGUUACUACUUUUGCCAAUAGAUCACAACACAGUUAAUACUCAGUUGGCUGUACUUGGAUCACAAAUUGAUGACAGUUACUAAGUAGAUAAUUAUUAUUUUUCCAGGUGAAUUCUGUUCAGAGAACUCUUGUGGAGACUUGGGGUUUGAUUAGGGAAACUUUCGUAGACCCAACUUUUAAUCAUCAAGGUAUUUGGUUACUUCAUCCUUCUUUUAUCGUUGUUAACUGACCGAGGAAUGCACACCAACGGUUGCAUUUGAAGAUCAUUUAUACUCCAAAUAAUGUUCAAUAUCUAAUUGUGUGGUUCUUUCCUGAAAUGAAACAGCUAUAAUAUUUGGAAAACUGUGUUCUUUAGUGUUGAAGACGAUAAUUCUUUUUCUGCAGAUUGGGAUCUUAAGUUGCAGCAAACAAUGGUAGAAAUGUUUCCCCUGAGGUCAGCUGAUGCAGCAUAUAUGAAAAUCAGUGGAAUGCUUUCUACUCUCGGUGAUCCCUUCACACGGAUUAUCAGUCCCAAGGUCUUUCAAUUCAUUCCAGUCUCUGCUAUGUCAAUUCCAUGUUAAUUUAAGACAAUUGCAAUGCAUAUUUGAUUAACAAAUUGAGUUGAACUGUGAUAUGUCCACUUAUGGCUAUCAUGACUGUUUAACUGUGAAUCUGUGAUAUGUCAAACUUAUAUAAAAAGUAAUUACAGCUAUCAAGCUAAUUACGUUUUUCACUCACAGGAAUAUCAAAGUUUUCGAAUUGGAAGCAAUGGAAAUCUACAAGGGGUUGGCCUUUUCAUAAGUACUGAACCAAGAACAGGCCAUUUGGUUAGUGAUGCCAAAUAAUCUUUUGAUAUUUCCAAUCUUUUCGUAAAUAAGCAUACGGAAAAUUGAUAUAUGUUGUUCCUAGGAUAUGUACAAGUCAUUUGACCUUGUGCUUGAAAUAUGUUAAUAAACCAAUAUAUGGUGGUUCUACAAAACCUACAAAAAUUUAUUGCAAUUUGUCUCUUGUAUUUUUUCUAAGCUAAUUAGCCGUUCAUUCGUUAUAUGGUGUUUUUACUAAUUUAGCUGUUCAUAUAGUUGCCAAUUAUAAAUCUUAUCGCCUUAAGUGCAUUAUCCAAGUUUGGCUUAUGUUAUUUCCAGCAUUUCGGAAUGUGAAAUGAGGAACUGUGCCUUUAUGACUGACCCGGUGAUUAUAUUAGAAUAAAAACGUCAACUUUCCUCUGUAUAUCAAGCAACCAAUCUGUUUCAUUAUAAAAUUUUCCGUUAUUAUUUUUGAAAGAAGUUGUGCUAAUGGAUGAGCUCUUGAUAUGCUAAUUUAGAUUUUGUGAGCUGUGUUCUGAUGUAGGAGAAAGAGAUGCAUUAAUAUGCUAAUUUACCACAUGUAAAAUUUAUUUUUAUUGGACAUUGCAGGUGGUGUUGUCUUGUGUAGAGGGUAGCCCGGCUGCUCGUGCUGGUAUACAUGAAGGAGAUGAGUUGGUUGAAAUUAAUGGUAAAUCAAGAUUCAAACAUUUGGCAUUUCUUUCUGUGAUGCUGAAAAUGGAAAAAUCCUACUUAAAAUCUUUUUGGUGGUUGAAUCCUAAUAGUGGGACAUGGUUGACAAUGUUUUGAUUCAAACCAUCAAAAUUAUUUCAAUCUGUUGUGGAUUAAUCUGGCUCAAGCGAAAUCAUAUUCUUCAUUUAUAAACCUAAUGCUGCCAUCAGACUACAGAUACUUGAGAUUGUCUACAUUCCAUUUCUCAAAUUAUAAAUUGGGUCUGCCCCUUAUCAGGAACAAUGAAAAUGCUCUAACGAGAUUAUCAAGAUCCAGUGUCAAGUACUAAUACACUCGGAUUCCCAGUAGUAUUUCUAUGCAAGAUGCUCCUGAAUCAAGAAAUGUAUUCCAAAAUUCCAACUUUUUCAAUGUCUUCUGUUUACAUUUAAACUGGCUUGUCAUUAUUUCAAUACACUUUAUGAGUUCAGGAGAGAAUCUUGAUGGUGUUGACACUGAAGUAGCAGUUCAGAAACUUAGAGGUCGAGUUGGAACAACUGUUACAGUAAAAGUUCAGAGUGUAAUCAUCAACUCUCUUUUUUUUUUUUUCCAAGUUUCAGCGGAAAUUAGUGAUUGUGAUCCUGUAGAGUGUGGCCAGCAGUUGCAAAUGGCUUCAGCUAACUAAUUUUACGUUUUCUGUUAUGCAGAGCAAUGAUUUGGGAAGUGAUUCUAGUAUACAAGAGGUACUAGGCCAUCUAUUAUUUUGGUUUUCUUAUAGUUUCAUUCAUUUUCAAAUGCACUCUUUGUGAUCCCUCAUGCAUCUUCAAAGUUUUUAAAUUAACAGCAUCAAGCAGAAGCAUGCAUUUAAUUUCACAAUUAUUUUAGUUAAUUGAUCUGAAAAAUGACUCGUCUGCUUGAAGGUGAAACUACCUCGUGAGUACAUUAAGCUUUCCCCAAUUUCAACUGCUACCAUCCCUCAUAGAACUCCAGAUGGACGUCUUACCAAAACGGGUUAUGUGAAGCUGUCAGCCUUCUCUCAGGUACUUCACUUUUUCUCUUGGCAAUGCAGAAAAUAAAAUUUCCUAAUUUAUAACAAUAUUUGGUUGAAAGUACUUUGUAUAUUCUGAAAAGUCUUCCACCCCUUCUGACAGACAGCUGCAGCUGAUAUGGAAAAUGCUAUUAAUGAAAUGAAGAGUCAGGGUGUACACUCAUACAUACUGGAUUUACGCAACAAUCCGGUAACUUUUUCAUUCUCGUUUACAUGAAAUGAAAUCUUCUGAUAGUUCAUUUUCCUGCUUUGGAUUUAUGAUUAUUCAGCAUGUUUAUCUUCUUCUUCUAAUUAAAUUCUUCAGGGGGGACUGGUAAAAGCAGGACUUGAUGUUGCCCAAAUUUGGCUAGAUGGGGAUGAAACUCUAGUGAACACAAUUGAUCGGGAAGGGAAUUUGCUGCCUAUCAACAUGGUCAAUGGGCAUGCUAUAACACAUGAUCCACUUGUUGUGCUUGUAAGUUUUGAACUUUAUAUGUGAAGUUACGUGCUUUACAUCAGAAAAGUAUGCAGUUUUGUAAAAGUUGCAUAUACAUUUAUUUUCUUAAAACUGGUGCAGUGCUGUCUAAAAUCAUGCCAAACGCAUUCUUGUUAAUUUUGCUAGAUAUAAAGAUUUUAUUUAGAAAUUCCAAUGCAAGUGGCAAUGCAUGAUGUCCAACUUUGAUUUAGUUAUGUUCUGAUUUAGUUAUGUUCUCUCAUGCAAAUUGAUAUGUGUGCAGACUGUCUAAAGUUGUCACACAAAUAGUUGCUUCUUCUUUCAUCUUCAUAAUCACAAUGGAUUCAAAAUCUCUACUAUUUCAAACAGGUUAAUGAGGGCAGCGCAAGUGCAAGUGAGAUAUUGGCAGGGGCACUACAUGACAAUCGCCGAGCUACUCUUGUUGGGCACAGAACCUUUGGGAAAGGAAAAAUUCAGGUAUGAAAAUUUUUGUGUGUAGUUAAUUGCAUCAACCAGAAAUUUUGUUAACUCAAACUCUACUUGACUGUUACAAAAUGCUUAAGCUCCAUUUCCAAAUUACGAACUUCAUGGAUUGCUGUGAUGUCCUUCUCUGCAAGCACCAUACCUCCUCUUGUUUUCUCCUUUCACUGAAUUUAAAUUACAUGUAAUUUGUAAUCUCACCUUUGAUUUCCACUGCUACACUUAAUUCUAAAUUUAUCAGGGUCAAAGAAUCUGUCAUGGUGUCUAUUCUACAUCUUUAUUAAGUCUCAAACUAAUGGCUAUGUUGCUGCUUGUUUCCCUAAUGCUCCUUGCUACAGAGUGUCACAGAGCUGCAUGAUGGAUCAGCGUUAUUUGUCACAGUGGCCAAGUAUUUAUCGCCGGCGCUUCACGACAUAGACCAGGUUGGCAUUGCUCCUGAUGUGCAAUGCACAACAGAAAUGCUCAAUUCUUCCAAGGAAUCGACGUCGAAGGAGAAGAGCUCAGUCUCAUCUUUAGAAGCAGAUUCUUGUGUGUUGGUAGCUGAACAUGAAUUGGACAUCCAGGAGUCCAAAGGCACUGCGUCUUGAAGACAGGAUCAUACACUUUAAAUUUGUAUAGCGUAGAAAUAGAAGAUAUACACGUGAAAAAGAAUAUGAAAUAGCACAGGGCCUGCUUAUACUUUUGUGUUUGUACAUCUUGUGCAAGUAAGAAGUAGGUUAUAGUGUAUUCCUGAUCAAUUGAAAAAUCAAUUGAAACUUUUGGGUUUUACCAGAUCGAUCAAUUUCCUACCAAUUUAUUUUUAGACUUUGUCAAGUUGGUGACCACUUUUCCUAAGUCAGAAAUCUGAAAACCGGAAUCAAAAUGGUUGCUAUUGAAAGUUUUGGAUGUAGGGUUUGUGGUCCUCUAAUCUGAAUUCCAAAUUGAUCAGGUUCGAGGUUUUCUUUAACUUAAACAAGACAAGUAGCGUUUGAUGUUAACACAAAUGGAAAGGGAAACGUAGAACCGAGUUAGAAUAAGGAUAGGUUAAGAGUUCAAUCUCUUCCAAUAUAAGAAAAGUAAAACACUUAAACUCAACAUUGCGAAUCAUAGUCCUAUUUUAAUUUAAAGUAGGAUUGGAUGUAGGCAGGUUUAAGUUGAACCAUCCAAAAACACCCAAAAAUAAAAUUUAAAAAACGAACACAAAACACAAAUAUUGGUGUUGUAGCUGGCCAAAAAGAAAAAUUAGGACUUGGACAGCUCGGAGUUAGAUAGCCACUUUUACUCAACACUCAAUACUUUGAGGCUGGCUGGCUGGCUGGCUGUGAUUGGUUGGCUUUUUAUAGGUCGGCUGGCAUGGAGGACCAUACCAAACCUCAUGUGAUAGGACAAUUAUUUGGUUGAUUAUUCUCCUUACAAAAUUGGUAGUUUCAUGAUUUCUUUCUUUCUUAAGGUGGACAGUGGGUAGCCACAAAUCAAUUUGGUUUGAUUUAUUAUGAUUAUUUGCUUCUAUAUAUGGGAUGGGAGGAAUGUGCAGCGUGUGGACCCCACAACAAUGAGAAGUGUGACAACGUUCAAAUGGAUGGCAACGUCUAUCAACAGCUCUUUUCUUCUGGGGUUAGUUUGAUUUUGGUUUGGCUUCACGACACACAUGCUGAUAUUAAACAUUCUUCAAUUUUACGUUGUUUCAUUGGCCAACUCGUGUCGGUGCCUCUCUUAGCACUUUCAUUAGUGACUAAGAGAGGAGGUCACUAAUUAUAUAUUUGAAUGUUAGUGACCAAUAUUGAAGGUGUACACAUGCAUUUUCAAUUUGUUGAACUUUUUAUAUCCUAACAAAAAAGUUAAUAGUUUUCUUAGAUACAAUUAAUAGUUUUUUUUUUUCUUUCUCUUAUCUAUUCCAACUACAUAAUUGUAUCAAUAGUUAGAGCAUUUUUAAUGAAGUUGUAUAAGCAGGUGUAUGUAAAAUGUACAUUUUUUAUUGUCGGAAUCACCUGUAAUAGACAGGUGUAAAUGAUUGUAAAUAUGCAUCACAGUCGUGGAGAUGCAAAAUGAGAUACACAAUUGUAAUUUUUUUUAUUUUUUUUACAUCUUUUUUAUGCGGAACCCACACGAAAAAUAAGUUUCAAGUAGUUUCGGGAAAGAAGAAAUAAUCAGUAUAUCUUUUUAUUGAAUCCGGGCAAACCAAUUAAUGAAUCAAAAGAUCCAACAAAAUCAAUCCUUCCAAGAAAACCCAACUACAUACACCAACUGUACUAAUAAUCAAAUAACAAAUUUCCAUGAAUCUGAAAUCUUUCAGCCAAACCAAUAUAUAAAACCCAAGCUUGGCAUCUCCUAAAAUUAAUUCAGGUAGCGUUUGAACAAGGCGCAAAAUGAGACCAGAAGCGAUGCUCCGACAACUACGCUGUUCACAGGCAAAGAGUAAGCCGCUCCAGCAUCCAUCGGGGACGGCGCCGGGGCGCUCUCCUGAGCCGACACCAUCGCAGCCAAGACCAGCAUCUGGACGAAGAAGAAGGCUCCGGAGAUGCUAACUUGCGCCAUUGGUGACUUGAACUCGGUAAAUGAUUUUUUCUAAAGUAAUGUAGGAGGCUUUGAGUUGAGAGUGUUUAUGCGUUGUGAGAAAAAUGGAGGAGCAGAGUGUUUCUUUAUAUACUGGAAGAUGGAGCGGCGUGUGGACCCCACAAUAUGAGAACGUUCAAAUGGAUGCUGGCAACGUCCAUUAACAGCUAGUGUGCGUGUUCACCCACUUCGACAACGCUGCUGGUGACUAGUGUGGCGUGUGAAAGUUCGUUUCGUCGUCAGUCGGCGCCGUAUAUGAUUUUCACGCGCUAAUUUUUUUUUAAUAUUGUGGUAACUUAUUUCUACUUAUGCAAGUAUUUUUUGAAUGUUACGAAUAACGGUUGUUAAAAAAAACAUGAAUGUUGACAUAAACUUCUAUAUAUGAUUCAUUUAUAUCUUAUAUUUUGUAAAUAUCAUGCCCCCAUUAUACGAAUAAACUGGAUUAUCUCUCCUCGUAUUUGUGGAGGGAUUUUCUCCCUAGUCGAUUUUGUGUUAGGUUUUUGCUUUCCUUGUGUUUUGCAAGGUUUGUCUCACCUCUAGUUGUUCUAGGGUCUUACUACUAGACUACCAACCUUUUGGGUUGGAUUUUUGUAGAUUUGUGCAGAUCUAUCUUUUUAUGGCAUUUGUUGUGUGUACUUGUAUAUUUGAGGUUGAUGAAGUGAAUCCUCAUAAGAUUUAUGUGUUAAGGAGUGAAGCUGUUUUAUUUUGUAAAUUUACUAUGAAUUGGCGCUUUAAAUUUAUGACUGUUUGGGAGACGAUGUGGCCAUGUGUUACAAUUACUAGAAAGACAAUAAUCAAAUAUUAGCCAUAAAAAAUUAUUGUUUAGCUGUUACCUACAAUAAUUAGUUUUAUAUUUAUUAUAUUUAAAUAAAAUGUCAUCAAAUUAUUAAAAUGUGAGAGAAUAAGUCACAAAUAAUAGUGCGGAGUAGACAAAAUCAUUAAUCAACCAUCAACUUGUCACCAAUACCAAUUUGGUUACUUUAAAAAAGGUGGCCUUUGCAUUUUUCUUUCUUUUUUUAUAAUGACAACUCUUAUAUAUUUAGCUUUAUUACAAUGCCCCUGGAGUAUAUACUGAAGUUCAGAUUGCACUCUAAAAUACAAAAUGUUGUGAGCAAUCAAUGUAACUUUAAAUUGUCUAUUAAUUUUAACUUAUUUUUAUGACGUGGCGUCGUAUAGAUCCACACAUUAUAGAUGUGACAUGAAUACAAAUUUGUACUUACGAACAAAUUAACAAAUUGAAAAAAGAAAGAAAACAACUUGUUUCUUUCUUUUUUUAAUUAUAAAUUUUAGUAGUUUGUUUAAUUCGCCAUAGGUGCAAAUUGUUGAUUUUUAUGAAUUUUUCUUUUAUAUCAAGAACAAUUAAUAGUUCCGGUAACAUUUGGGUAUGAUUUGUGCAACAUUGCAAUACAAAUUAGUGACAAAUUUGUUUCGGGAAAAAAAAAAUCACUUUUUAUUACAAUGUAAAGAAUCAAAUAUCCAACAAAAUCAACCCCUUAACAAAAUCCGCAUACACAUUAUCCCCAAAAACCAAUGCAUAACAAAUUUCCAAUGAAUCCAAGCUUGCCGUAUCUCAUUCUGAACAAAUUAAUUCAAGUAGUGCUUGAACAAGGCAAAAACUGAGACCAUAAGCGACGCUCCAACAGCUGCGCCGUUUACAGGCAAAGAGUAAGCCGCCCCGGCAUCCAUCUGUGCCGGUGCCGGUGCCGGCGCACUCUCCUGCGCCGAAACCGUUGCCGCCAAGACGACCAAGACCAGCAUUUGGACGAAGAAGAAGGCCCUGGACAUGCUGAUUUGUGCCAUUGCUAAGAAAGUUAUGAAGUUUUUGGUGGAGAAGCUUUGACUUGGAUGUGAGGUUUUGUUUUUCUUUGUGUUUUGGGGUUUUGAGUUGUUUUAGGGUUGGGGAGUGAGGGGUCGGGUUUAUAUAGGGGGGUCGAGGGGCGUGUGGAGCCCACAGCGACAACGUUCAAAUGGAUGGCAUUUGCCCCACACCUUUUAAUGAAAAUGUUGUCGAUAAAUUUACUCUUCUGCAAACGACCUCUAAGGAACCAAGUAAAUGAAAAAGAAAGUAAUUAUACCAUAUCCACCAACCACUCUAUAUCCAUCUUAAAAUUAUCAUCUCUCAUAUUCAAUUCUCUGAUUGUUUGCUUUUCGACAAUAGAUAAGAAAAUUGUUGUUUUGGAGUAAACUUCCCUAGUGAAAUAGGUAAGAAAAACAGUCACCUUUCAUCAUGUUUUCACAAUUUUUCAUGCACAAUAUUACUUAAUCUCAAAAUUAUGAAUUAGACGUACGAAACCUAAACGAAAUGCAUGAAUAAUCAAAUAGUGGCCUAGAUUGAUGGCACCGCCACACUAUCACCAUUAACACAUCUACCAACCACCACCACAUAUUUAUAGAUGAAAAUUAAGUUAUGUGUUUUAGUGGCAGUUCUAGAAUUUGAAAGCCGAUCGGGUAAAACUUAUAUAUAUUAAAUUCUACGGUACUAAUGAAUUUCAUUAAUAAAUCUAAAAAGAUACACAUAGUGAAGAGAGACGUAAUGAGCCUUAACCUCAAAUGCAUCUAUAUCUACAAAUGCAAAAACUAAAAUCCAAAUCAAAAGUAAAAUUAAAAGAAAAAAAGAAAAAAAAAUAUUUCACAUUUAAAAAAAAGGAGAAAACAUGGGACUACAUUAAUUUUAAAAAAAAAACAACAACAUCAUGGAGCGCUUCUUGAUUCCACAAUUGGAGAUUUCAGUUUAGCCUUCUGGAUCUCAUCUCUUGGGGUUUGUGUGAGACAAAAAAAAAUUAAUAAUCAUAAUUUUUAAUUUAAUUUGAAAAGAAGGGAAAAAAAGAGAGAGAGGAGAGAAGAGAAAAGGAAAAGAAAGAACAAAGAAAGAGAGAGAGAGGAGAGAAGAUAGAAGGAAAAAAACGAAGAAGAAAAAAGAGGAGAGAUGAAAGAAGGAAAAGAAAGAAAAAAAAAGAGAAGGAAAAUAACGAAAAGAGAGAGAGAGAGAGAGAGAGAGAGAGAGAGAGAGAGAGAGAGAGAGAGAGAAGAAGAGAAAAAAAAGGUUUGUAUAGGUUUAAUUUAAGUGGGCUGGACAUAUGUAGUGUAGGUAAUAUUUUUUUAAUAAACAUUUGGGUUGGGCAUGAGCCCAGCCUGCCAUAGGCUAGAACGCCCCUGAUGUGUUUAAUCCUAUUUUCUUUUAAGAUUAGUCAAACAAGAAACUUCACAAAUUUUGCAACAUUAACUCUUAUUUUCACAAAGCAAUCUUAGAUUUCCUCAUCCAAACGCAGUGUAAUGUUGUGCAUAAUGUUUUCCUUACUUUCUAUUAGUUCUUUAAUGUUUUUUGGGAUUCAUUUGUGCUUAUUUGAGUGUGUUUAGGUAUUGUUUAGUAUAUUUUAGGGUUUAUAGGUUUAAGAUUCAAAAUCUUAAACCUAUUUGUUUUAGUUGUAUGGGCUAUAUAGGCCAUGCCCUUUUUUUUUAGUUGUCAAUACCCAUGUAGUCUCUCUCUCCCUAGCCCAUGCAUUUUUUUUUUUAAUUUUCAAAUCCAUGUUCUCUCUUUUUCUUAUUUUCUUCAUUUCUCUCUCUCUCUCUCUCUCUCUCUCUCUCUCUUCUUUUCCUCCUUUCUCUCUUCUUCUUCCUAUUUCUUUUUUUUCCCCCUUUCUCUUGUUUUUUUUUCUUUCAUUUCUCCAUUUUUUAAUGGUCUGGAUCUACUACGAAUUGAGCUUUUUCCCACAGUUUCUUCUUCCUUUUUUUUUUAUUUUUUUUUGUUGCUUUUCUCUUGUUUUUUUUUUCCUUUGUUUCUCUUUUUCUUCUUAUGCGUUUCGCUUUUUUCUCUCACACGUGUUAUAAAGUCCAUUUUGGUGCGAUAUAGCCCUCAUUGUUGAAAUUUCCUACAUAUGUAAGGUAAAUUUAGCCCAUAGAGUUUUGAAAUCCUGAAUUCGUCCCUACUUUAAUUCAAAUUAUUUUUAUGUUGUGCAAAUCUCAAGAAUAAUAUGAAGUGAGUUUAAGUCGAUAGUAUUCUAGAAAAAAUUUGUUUUAAAUUCUUUUUGCACAAAGGAAGAGCGACAAAUUAGCCUUAAAGAAGCAAAUUCAUUCGUGCUUUGGCUCAAAAUUUUCAUUUUCAUCUUAGUUAUUGCCUUCAUAUAUCUUCAUAAUUUCCAACACAGUAUGAUCGCUCAAUGUUUAUAACGAUCAAUCUACACUGGCCAAGGACCUAUUCUUUCAAAAGAAAUAUGGUGCACAUUUUCCAAUAAAUUAAAAGGUGCAUGUCCUUAUUAGUGACAAGCACUUUAAUCUUCAAGUUUCUUUAACCUUUGGAUGUAAGUUAGGUAAAUUUCUUGUUCUCUUGCCAGACAUGUUAUAAUAUCCAGAGAUGUUCGUUUAAACGCAAAUAUAAUCAUUAAUUUAUUUUAUACUAACAAACAAACAACAAAAUAUAUAAAUUUGUCAUGUGUAAUCAAGCCAUAGAUAACUUGUAGAACUUUACAAUAUUAUUCAAAUUAGGUGAUGGUUAAUACCAAUUAACCAUCAAAUACAGAGAAAGUAGGAUAUCGCGAUGGUGUUCAUAUGCCUCAAAAUUCAAAAACAGUAUAUCUUUUUUCCGGAUAUUAAAGCAUAACACUCACCUUAUCAUUAUCAUAUAGUUUACAUUAAAAAAAAAAACAUCCCAAAACACACAUAAUAAGGAAAAUGUGUCAAAUCCAACAAUGUCCAUGUAUCACAACAGCUCCGCUGCACAUCCAAAACUCAGAACCCCACAUCCAUCCAUCCAUUCUAGCAAAAAGCAAAAGCAGCUGUAAGAGAGACCAACAUAGAAGAACAGAUCAACGCCACGGAAACCGGAGAAGCAAACCCGGCUCCGGUCACCGGUAACGGGGCAGGUGGUGUGGCGGUAUUCUGUGCCAUAGUUUUGGUCACAUAAAAUAAUGCAGCAACCAUGACCAUAAGAAUUCUAGCUGAAGAUGUGCCAAACCGUGCCAUUUCUCUGUAAAAAAAAUAGGCACAGAAACUGAAAGAUUUAGACAAAGGUAAAGAAAGGGAAUGAGGAAUUGAUUAAUUGAGUUUGUGUUUUUGUUGAGAGCAAUGUGGUGCAUGAAUUUAUAGGAGACUGGUUUGUAUGUGACCAAUUUCUUGGCCUGCCUUUUUGGACACGGCUAAUGGGACCAAUUAAAGCAAUGGCUGGCUGGCUUCACCACAACAUGGACAUGGGAACUACAGACAUUUCUUGAUGAAUGAUAAGAAAGUUGGUAUGCAAUCACCUUCAUGCACUCAAUCCUUUUUGCCGUGCCUUAAAUUAAUUUUAGUAGAGACUUGUGAGUGCACACACACAAGUUUAUUUUAUAUAUUAUCAAAUCAAAUCCCCUAUGAAUUUCAAAGAAAAUGGUACCAUGUAUUAAUACAAGUUUAGUGUUUAGUUGGGUCAGUCUUAAAUCAUUUUGUCCAUUUUUUUUUCUUUCAAACAAUCAUUUUAUACACUUGCAAUUAUUAGAAUUAGUUAACGCAAGCAGCAAUAAACUUGUAGCUCAAGUGAUUAGUUACCAUUUGCACUCGAGGUCCUGUGUUUAAAUACCCCUCCCUCGAUAUUGAUUGUAUUAUAAAAAUAAAAAUAAAAGUUAACAUAUAGCAUAUACUAUGCAAUGUUUUGCCAUCUGUUGGUAAAGUGAUGCUAUCAUAAAGAGCUGUGGUGAUUCGUGGUGUACAUCUAAAAAAGGUUAAGCUGUCCUUGUAAAAGAGCAAACUUGUGCAGAGAGAUAAUGAACCUAAAAAUAAUUUCAACCAGAUGAGACUUGGAAAAUAGAAAACUUGAAAUUAACUAAAGCAUGAUUUAUGAUUUGGGAUACGAUUAGUGAUUUUUCACUUUGCAAAUGUUACAUUAUUAAAAGUGAAAGAUAUAUGGGCUCAAGUGAAUGAGCAGCCGCUUAAGGGGAAGCUCUUGGGCUUGCAUUGCUAGGCCUAGACUUGUUUGUGGGUAGUUUUUGUUCAAAUUAAAACUAGGAUUCUGUGUUUAUAAAAUGCACCCUACUCUUUUGAACACCUUAAAACUAAGAAUUUGUACCUGGGAUGAUUUGGUAUUAUAAAAUGCUUUCUUUUUUUUUUUUAUUGAUAUGAGAUUUGAUAUAUUUGGACAUGAUAAGAUAACGAGUCGAAAAUAUGCUUGAAAUAAUUUCAUAUUAUAUGAAACUAAUGCACGCUAUAUAUUGAAACACGACAGGUUGCCACGUCUAUGGACACACCCAUUCUAAGAAUUCACAGUAUCCCAAAGCAAACCUUAAAAUUUUGUCCCGAAAAAACUAUUUGCCGAAAAGAAUUUUAAUUUUAUUAAUCUCAAAACUUGGAAAAAAGAAAAGUAAAACCUAACAAAAUUGAAGAAAUACAGACAUGAAUAAGAAUAUUUGUAUUCUCUCUUACAAUGAUGAUUUUGUGUUUUUUCCCCUUGAAAACACUAGGCUAUUGAGAUCUAAUCAAGAGAAGAUUGAGAAUCAAAAAGUAAAAAACACCAUUCAAAUUCCUAAUGUCAUGCAAAGCCAAACACGCAAGUACGUAGCUAGCUAUUCGUCAACUACAACACUUACUUGACCACAAGUGUUUCAUAUUCUAAUAAUAACCAAAAUCCUCCCUAUAAAAUUGUUCAUAAUUGAUUUGAUCAGUACUACUACUAAUCACCCUUAAUCAGUUGCUUGAACCAAAGCAAAACUAGCAAAGUGUUCUCAUUAUUUUCAUCUCAAAGCCAAUCAACUCAAAGCUCACAUUCAUCAAACACCAACCAUGGACAUGAAGAUCAAGAUCUCCCUUGCCAUCCUUCUAUUUGCUGCCUUGAUGAGUGUGGUCUUGGCUGAUAAUAAGGAAGCUCAUCCCCCGAAGCACUCAGGCGGCGCACAUGCCCCAAAGCACUCAGGCGGUGGCGCGCAUGCCCCGAAGGGCGCAGCUUCUGCCCCAGAGGGCACAGCUUCAGUCUCAGCUGAAGCUCCUGCCGCGGCCAAGGACUCCGCUUCGGCGCCGCAAGCAUCAAGCAGUACUACCCCCACUACAUUGUCCCUUGUUGGCUCUUUGGCUGGUGCCUUCCUUUCAUUUUUCUUUGUCUAUUACUUGCAGUACUAAUUAAGCUCAGAGAAUAGGAGAUUGUUUUUAGCUAUAUAUGAAGGAGAAUGAGGUAAUGACGAGAUUUUUAUGUACUUGGAAGAACAUGAUGGUCUAUAUCUUUGUUUUAGAUAUAUUCACCAUUAGAUAAUCAUGGAGUGAAGUUUGCACGACAAUCACCUUUUCAUUUUAGUUACAUUAAGCAAUUUACACUUUAUUUUCUUCAAAUGUUCUUUCCAUUUCAGAAUUAUUUUAUGGCUAAAUGUCACUUUUGGUCCCUGUAGUUUGGCACUUCAAUCACUUUUGACCAUAUAGUUUCAAUUUCGUCAAUUUUGACCCUGUAGUUUCGUAUAGUAUUCCUGUCAAUUUCUUUGACGGUGCAAGGGGCAGUUUCGUCAACCCAAAAUCCUUGAGCAUAAAAGCUCAUUUGAAACUCCCUUCAUUUCAUAUUAGGGCUUCAAAUCGGUCAUUUGGGUUUAUGGUUCUUUAAAAAUUGGGAUUAGUGGUAAAAUUUCGAGCCCUAAUAUGAAAUGAGGAGAAUUUCAUACAAGCUUUUACGCUAAAGGGUUUUGGGUUGACGAAAUUACCCCUUGCAUCGUUAAAAAAAUUGAUAAGAAUACUAACAUGUCCUUGAAUUGCUACAAAUAUGAAACUACAAUGGCAAAAUUGACGGAACUGAAACUACAAGGUCAAAAGUGGUUGAAGUGCUAAACUACAGGGAUCAAAAGUGAUUUUUGGCCUUAUUUUAUUAUAUUGUAUAUAUGUUGAAAGAUUGUACAAAUUAAUUUAAUGUUUAACGAAUUUAUAUGGGACCUUUGCAUCGAUGGGUUUCAAAAUUAAGUUUGAUCAAGGUUGAUCAUUAAGUAAACUUGAUACUAUCGCAAGUGAUAUUCAAUUUUGACAGUGGAUGAAAUAAUACGUGUAUCUACUUGGUGAUUCUUCAUCAUCUUGAUGAAUAGUAUGGGAAGUCUACUUGAUUGUUUUAUUUUUUUGCCAAAUGUUUGGCUGGUUUUUCUCUAGUAUGAAGGUCUCCUCUUUUGAAGAAGGAUCGAGUAUCUCUUAAUAUGAAGGAUUCAACACUGUUAGCUUCUAUUUAGCUAAUGUUUUUAGCUUUUUUUGACAAAUUUGUAAUCUUAUAUGUAAUCAAUUAAGCUCAAGGAAUUUAGGGUAGUUUAAGUUUGCAUUUCAAGAUGAUUACAGAAAUUGAUAUCAAUCUUGUCAUGGCUCAAAUGGAAUCAAGAUUCUUGAAGGUAAAAAUCAUACAUUAAUGCAUUGCAUGCGUUAUAGUGUUCUUAUGUAUGACUAGUCAAAUAUGCAUGUACAUUCAUCUUUAGUUGUCAUGUAUAUAAUUUCUCUUAGCUCAUCUUUAGAAAUUAGGAAUUGGGUAUUUGCCAGAAAGUUAACAUUGAAGAGCUUUCGAGGCUACAAAACAAAGAUAAUUUGUGCAUUCAUUUAUAAUGGGCAUCCUUAGGAAAAUUAGCAUCUAUAUCACAAUACUUUGUCUAGAUGACUAUAUAGGCCAAAUAUUUCCAGCACAAUAUUUUUAAUCAAGGCAUGUGAUUUUGCUUAUGAUAAGUCCAAUAAUUGGCUCCCAAGUGUCCUUUUGACCUACCAAAAAUGCUGAGGCUGGUCUGGACUCACCAAUUCUCUCAUUUUAUAUUUUGCAUAUGGGUUUUGAGAGAGAGAGAGAGAGAGAGAGAGUGUGUGUGUGUGUGUGUGUGAUUGUGCAUAAAUUAGGUUUUUCCUUUUGGAAGAAAAGUUCAUGGGUCCUUUUGGGGCUUUCAUUGUGUUGUGUUAGCUUUUGCUACUUGUUUAAUUUUUGGCUUCCUUAAACAACAUUAUAUUUGCUAUUGUAAAAUCACCAUGCUCAAGCUUAAUUAGUCCAGAACAGAUUAGGAUUGAAGAGGUCUACUAUGACUAUGACAAAUUAUGACUCAAUGCAAAUAAAGAGAAAAAAUAAAAAUCAUGCAUCGCAUAUUUCAGCUUAGUUGAGUAAAUGUGAUGAUUAGUCAUCCAUUUACUACCAGCUCAUUUAAAAUCUCGCGUGAGAUUCUCACGUGUUUCAUGAUUAGCCAAUUGUGGUCUUCCUAUCAUAACGAUUUCGUAUGUCUUAUUAUUAUGCCAAUCAUUAGUCGACAUCUGAUUUCCUUUUCUCACCUAGUUUUUGGGGAUAAAAUAUAUUUUUGGCUCCAGUAGCCGUCACAGACUCAGUGUAAAAUUGUGUGCUUCAUCGUUCUUCCUUUCUCCGAGGUCUGCAUAUUUUCGAAAAAAAUGAGGUUUUUGAAAAUCUAAUUUGGUUAUCUUAUAUCUACAUCUAGUCUGUAGGUUAUAUCAUAUCAUUCUAGUUAGAUCAGAUUCCUUGUUAGUUUCUUCAAGAGGAUUGUUUCUUGAAGAAAUCAACAAUUUCUUUUUGAAUUUAUAUCGGAUUCAUUCUCCGAGGUCUUCUUACAGCUAGAGCUGGCAAACAGGUCGUUUUUAUGGGUUACGGGUCGUGUUCGGGUCAACUCAUUUUCUUAACGGGUUGACACGAACAUGACCCGUUAAACUAACGAGUCAUAAAUACUAGACCCAAACACGACCCGCACAAAUUCGCGAAUAACACGACACGACCCGUUAUGGCUAAUGGGUCGUUUUUCACCCGUUUUCACCGAUUUAAAAAAUAAACAAUAUUUUUCAAAAAAUCAUUAAAUGAAAACACCUCAAAUUAAUAAAACAAAGAAAAUAGGAAAGUAGAAAAUGCUGAAGUUGGGAUUUUGGCUCAGCAUGUUUAUGGGUUUAAGCCAAUUCCUAGAGGAUCAUCAAAUUCUGUAGAGAUUGAAACAGAUAGAGAAAAUGCUGCAUCACUUGCCAGAGCUGGAAACAGAUUGUUCCAGAUUUUAGGAGAAGAAUACUCCGAAGUUCAUGUUUUAAAAUCAAAAGUGCUGAAUGGAAUCAGAAAAGCAAAAUUGACAUAGAAUAUGGAUUGGAGGAGAGCAUUGACUUGGAUGAUAAUGACAAGAAGUCCCUGCUUUCCCGUCAGAAAGCAAUCCUUCCAACUCACUUUGGUAUUAAUAUAAUGCAUAGAUAACAAUUAAAACUCUCAAAUGACUUGAGAUUUUCAUACCUUUUCGUUGGAGAAGAAGAAGAAAGGUAGUUGAUGCUUGAUAGUUUGGUUUGGAUCUAGAGAGAAAGAGAGAGGACAGAGUGAGUGGCCGCGUGCUCGGACUCGGACAGGAGGGCUCCAAUUCAAGGUAGGUUAAUUUUAGAAUUAAAAUUACAAAAAUGCCCUUACUCUUAACGGGUUAACGAGUGAUUCGCGAAUAAUACUGAUCCAACUCGUUAGCUUAACGGGUGACUAACAGGUCCACCUGUUUUCAACCCAACCCAUUAAGCUCAAUCUAAAUGUUGUUAUUUUCGUGCGAAUUCGUGUUGUGUUAACGGGUCGUGUUCGAUAUUGCCGGCUCUACUUACAACACUUGUUCUUUCAAUUUCAGUUGUAUUUCAAGGUUGCUGGUUUACAAACACAGGGUUUUUGCUCUGGGUUCCUAGGUUUGUUCCAAAGGGUUGUGUUGUCCAUUAUGUUUUUCAAGAUCGCUGGUUUACCAACAUGGGGUUUUUGCAAUUGUACACUUUUAUCGUACCUAUUAUGCAAAUGAAAUGUACUUGUUAGCUUUUAGUAAGUGGUAUAAAUAGUUGUUAUAUAUAUACUGUUCAUACCUUACAACUAAGUUGAUUUCUAUGACAUUGUAUUAACAAUGUGCUUCUAUGACAUAGUAUUAACAAAUUUUCAGUAACAAAACAUACUCUAUAUAUAGCUGUGCACUUGAAGUUUAUGAUAUGCAGAAUGUGAUUUUUACUAGAAAGAUAGUUCUAUAACAUAGUAUUAACAGUGUACUUUUAUGUUUAUUUUUUUGUAGAGGUAUUUCUUUUUGCCUUUGCGAUUGUUUCUGGUGAAACAAUGGACAAUUGGAGGUGAUUUUUGAAAAGGAUAUCGGAUGUCUUGCUAGUUUUUUUUUGAGUUUUUUUAAUGAUGGUAUGAACAAUGUUUUUCUAUGAAAUGAUAUUAACAUUGUACUUCUAUGACAUAAUAUUAACAAUGUAUUUCUAUGACUUGGAAUUAAUAAUGUACUUCUAUGACAUGGUAUUAACAAUGUACUUCGAGCUCGUUGAGCUUUUUUUGUGUGUCAAAUAUGGGCUGGGCUUACUGGGCUUUUUUUUUUUUUUUUUUUUUUUGGGUUGAGUUUUUUGUAUUGGGCUUGUUUUAAGUUAAUCAAUGGCAAAGAUGUAAUUUAUAGGAACUUCAACACUCAUUUUUUAGGUAGUAAAUGGUUUUUGGGUAUGUUUCUAAAGUGUAUUCCAUAUAGGUUUUUUUUAUAUUUUAAAAUAAUAAUAAUUUCAGGUCCUAUUUUAGAUAUAUUACUAAAUCUCCCUAAAAAAUAAUGUACCUACUUUUAAAAUAAUUUACUGAUACAAUCUAAUUAAAUUAGCAUACCUAUUUUUUUAAAAUAACAUAUAGGUAAAUUAGUAUGAUAUUUUUGAACUAGUAUACCUACAAAAUAUAAGUAAAAUAGUACGUGAAUUUUGUACUUAGUAUAGCUGCAAAAUAUAGGUAAGUAUACCUACAAAUUACUAUAGAUACAUUAGUGGGAUCUUUUGUACGCAGUAAGUGUAUUCUGAUCUUAUUUCUGUAGGUGUAUUGCUAUUGCUUGUAUAUGUAAUUAAUGCUUACGUCUUUUACAAAUUUCAUGGUUGGCAUUAGUAUUGAUUAGGGGUGGCAUUUUAGACCCAAAAACUAAAAGACCGCAAAAACCAACCGACAUUUAACCGUAAUCGCAGGAAAUCGAAUCACAUUUGCGGUACGAAGAAGUUAACCGCAUUUGCGGUUGCAGUUGUGGUAUUUGAUUUUCACAACUUGCAGUUACCGCAAACCGCGACUAUAGUUUUUAAAAAAUAAAAAUUGCAUUUUAAUGUUUAAUCGUAGCCGUUGUAUAACAAGACCACUUAUCUUGUAAGUAAUUAGUUUAUUUAUGUUUUUUCUUAUAAUAAAAUGUACUAAACUUAUGUUGUUUUAUUUGUAGAUAGCAUUGAUGCUCAAACAACACAAUGGGGUCCUUCAAAUCCACUCACCACCACCAACACUUGAGUUUGUAACAUUGGGGCAUUGCAUUUUCCUUUUAGUUUGUAACUUUAAUUAACUUUGAAUUGGAUUUUUCCUUUGGGUUGUAAAUUUAAUUCAUUUUGCAUUGCAUUUUCCUUUUGGUUUGUAACUUUAAAGGAUUUGGAAUUGGAAUGCUUGAGAAGUUUAACUUUAAUUGGAAUGCUUGGAAUUGUAACUUUAAUUUUCUUUAGGUUGUGAAUGCUUGAGAAGUUGAGGAGGUUGUGAAUUUAUAUAUGCUUGAGAAGUUGAGGUUAUGAAUUUAUAUUUUUGGGUUAAAGUAUGCUUGAACUCAAAAGGCUUCAAAAAAAAGCAUCAAAACUAGGCCUAAAAUGUGGAAGAUUGGAUUUUUAUGACACCAAAAAAACUUGCGGUUUUAAAUCGCUACUUCACGGUAACCGACGAUAAACCGCAAAAAAAGGUCGGUUUGCGGUUUCAAAAAUCAUCAUACCGCAAAUAGUUGGUCGGUUUGUGGUUUGAACAAAAAUUCGCAGUUAUCGAACCGCAACCACCCCUAGUAUUGAUUAAGUCCAUUACUUUUUUUUUUUUUUUUUUUGCAAUUGCUAAUAAUUUACAUUCAUUACUAAUUAAGAUGGUAAAAAUUUAGGUUUUAAUACCAUAUAUAGUUGGAUGGCAUCAAUUGUAAAAUAGUUAAAAAUAAUAGGAUAGCCUAUUUUAAAUUUGGGUUUUGGUUGGAGAUUAUAAAAUGGGUGGGUUAUUGUUUAGAAUAUAUGAGUUAUACGGGCUUUUCACCUAACAUCUCUUUAAAUUAUAAGACUAUUUGGUUAUUAAUUUUGUUUAAAACUUUUAGUCUUUUAAAAUUACACCUCUAUUGAAAAAUUCUUGAAUUUGUCAGUGCCUACGGCAGCAGCUCCGAUUCCAGGCAAGCGCUGCCUUUGCUACCUUUCCCACUGUGGGGUCUUUUGGUGGCUCCCUUUUGUCUUCCUUUGCCUAUUGCUUGCAAUACUAAGCUCUUUAUUACGUUGUACCGGGAAAUGUGAUUAUGGAAAUGAAGUAUAUGUGUACCUAGAAAGAAAAAUCAUGGACUGUAUCUUUAUUUUGGAUUCAAUCACACCAAUCACCCUUGACGGUAUCUUUAUUUUGCUUUUCAUAAUAUUUCUUGCUUUUACUCUUUAUUAAUAGAUUCAGCUGGCUGGUGGAAUUUAGACUUACUUUCUGCAGUUUUUUUUGGAAAGAAGAGGUUGUUGCUAUUCUGUCAAUUCCUUUGAUACCAAACUGAUCAGAUAAGCUAAUCUGGCAUUAUACUGUGACUGGGAAGUAUAGUGUUAAAAGUGGUUAUUGGUUAUCUCAAAGUAUAAUCUCGAGACAACAGGGAGAUGUAAGUAGGUCAGCUAAUUCAGUGAAUUUGUUAUGGUCGUCCAUCUGGUUAUUGCGAGUUCCUAAUAAAUUGAAUGUAUUUUUAUGAAGAGCGGUACAUGAUAUUAUUUCAUAUAAGGUGAACCUUUUUAAGCAUCAAAUUAUUCAUGAUUCAUUAUGUUUUAGAUGCUCUCAACAGUCUGAAACUAUAGUACAUGCUCUCUAGUUUUGUCGAUUGUCAAGGGAGGUUCGGCAGCAUUCACCUAUUCAUGACUUGACAGUUCCCCUGCAGGUUGGUACUUUUAAGGAGUUAUAUCGAUAUGUUUCCUCGGUUUUGACUAAUGACGAGCUAGUCUUCUUUGUUUUUUUGAGUUGGGGAUGUAAUGAUCUUUUACAUUCUGGUCAAAUUACUUCAUAUCUUAAUUUGUUGGCUCGUACCCGAAAGCUUGUUUUGAAAUAUCAACGGGCUAUUAUUUUAAUGUCUUCUCAUGUUCCGGCAACUAAUAUUGUGCGGUAUUGGUCUCCACCUAAUGAUAAUUUUGUGAAGAUAAAUGUUGAUGGUGCUGUCAAUUUGCUUAUUGGUUUUAGAGGUUUGGGGGUUUUCAUACGAGAUAGUAUGGGUGAUUUAAUGCUAGCCGCCUAUAAAGGUCUUCAUGGCAUGUUUUCUCCUAAAGCUACUGAACUUUACGCAGCAAUUAUGAGAUUACUGAUUGCAGGUCAAAUGGGACAUCGUUCUGUCAUUUUGGAAAUGGAUGCCAAAGAGAUUAUUAUGAAUCUUCAAACUUAUGAGCAAAGUUGGUCGGCGGAGGGUGCUUUAGUGUAUGAAGUCCGGAGCUUUUUUAAUAGUUUUGAUCAUAUUUCUUGUUACUUUGCUCCUCGGGACUUGGAAGUGUAACCAAGUUGCUCAUCUAUUGGCUAAGCAGGCGCUCCUGUCUCAGGACUUUCAAGUGUGGUUAGAGGAUGGUCCUUUAUGAAUUUAUAAUGUUUUGGCCAAUGACAAAUUAUUUACUUAAUUUAAUUUUAUACUAGAUGUGAUAUAGUGGUACUCUUUUUCCUUGACCGGAUUUUUCUCCAUUUGGGGGUUUUUAAAGGCAAGGUUUUAAUGAGGUCACACUUGUUACAUUACUAAAGUCCAGUGUUAUUUUUGUACUCUAACAUUGUUGUUUCAAUGAAAUUAUCUCACUUUGAUAAAUAUAAAAAUUAAAAUUAAAAUUAAAAUCCUAAAUGUGCAAAGUCCUAAAGUGACCCUAUUUCGAAACCUUUCAGUUUCAUGGUGAGGAUCAAAGUGUUGUCCUAAACUGACCCUAAUACAAGUAUCAAAUAUCGAGAACUUAAAAUGUAAUACAAAAAGAAAAGAACAACAUUGCUUUCGACCAAUUCCAAAAUAGUCAUCUUGCACUCCUUAACGGAAAAAAGAUAUCAGAGAAAGAUGAGUGAAUGAUGACUAUUUUGGAAUACUAAUAACAAUAAAUCCUUUAAUAUUUUCUAAGUCUUAAAAUAAAUCUCAUCGUAACCCAAUAUUAUCCAAAUAUGAUGAUUGUUUGAUAUGGUUCGAUACAAGUUCAAUUCAAUAAUUUGAAUAGGAUUAGAAUACGAUAAUCUGCUUAUAAUGGGAUUCAAAUUUGGAUAUAUAGGCUUAUUUGUUGAUAGUUGAGUCAUGACCAGUUUUGUGUUUCCCAAAUAUCAAGGAAUGCUUAGUUGCGUCAUAAAUCUUUAUCCCCUUCUCUCUCUCUCUCUCUCCCUCCCUCCUUCUUCUUCUUCUUUUUUUAUGAAUCCAUACAGUUGUUUAUGCUUGUGUCCAUAUACUAGCCUAAGUGUUACGAAACCAUACAACUGUUUCUACUUGUAUCCAUAUAGCAGCAGCAUGGUAGAUCUAACCAACCCCAUAAAACUAGAGAAAUUGUAAAAACGUUUGGCCCAAAAAGAAGUAAGAAUGUGUAAAAACGAGAUUGAUUUGGAUACGUUUCAUACCACACGAAUAAAAAAAAUAAAAAACAAGUGUUAACAAAAUUCCUGAUGACAUGCAAAACCAGACACGUAAAGACCUAUUCCUAAGUAAUAGCACAACUGAAGACAAGUGUUUCAUUCUAAAAAUAACCAAAGUGCUCCCUAUAAACCUCUCCAGUAUUUCCUCACUAUUCCUCACACUUACAACAACUAGAUCAAAGCAGAGCUGUAAACAAACAACUUCUUCCAUAUUCGUCUCCAGGAACUCUAGAUUUAUUUUCACUUCAAAGUUCACAGUCAACAAUUAUCAAUAUUCAACAUGGACAUGAAGAAGAUCUCAAUUGCCAUCAUCUUCAUUGCUGCCUUGAUGGGUGUUGUCUUGGCAGCUGAGAAGAAGGAAUCCCCCAAGGCCGCUGCCCCCAAGGCUGCUACCCCUGCCCCGGCAAGCGGCGCCACCGCCACCACCUUUUCGGUUGUUGGGUCUUUGGUUGGUGCCUUAAUUUUUGCUUUCUUUGGCUAUUACCUUCAGUAAUGGUUCAGAUCAGAGAAUAAGUCAUUCUUGUAAGGGAAAUUAGGAAAAUGAGAUUCAUGAGAUCGUGAUGGAUUAUUUACAAGAGAAGAAAGGAUCACGUUUAUUUCAUGUAUUUUGACUAGCUAUGCUAGUUUCGUUAAUUGAAUUGCCUCUAUUCUUUUAAUUGAAUUGCCAAUCUUAUUGAAAACAAAAGUGAUUAUUGUCCAAAAAGAAAUUCUAAUUUGGGUCAAGUGGUAUCAAAGCAUCAGGUGAUUUAUGGUCUUAACUCGUGGCCCAAAAACUUGUAGGUCCUUGGCCUUUGGAUACAUUUCAAUUGAAAAUAAAAAUAAAAAUUGAGGAUCAAGUCGUGAGAUCCUAA